rnacentral:lncRNA from 1 species
UUUUUUUUUGUAUUCCAAUAAAUGAGUCUUGAGAAACCCUAAUGUUGUUGAUUGUUGCUUUAAAUAUAGCCUUGGUAGUGGUAUGUACACAAGGUGUUUGUGAAAAUAUCUAAGUAAAAUGCCUAGUUACAUGUUGAUGAUGUAUUAAAUUAGGGAAAUGACCUAAUGGGCAUGAAUGAUUGGUGAAUGGUGUGUCAAAGUUAUUGUGGUCCAUGUAUUAUGUAUUUGAUAUUAUUGUUAGGAUAAUGGAUAAUAAGGGUUUGAAACCCUAGACAUGAAAAUGAACUUGUUAUGUGUGUUGAGCCUAAAUAUGGUGAGAAUAUAGUGAAAUCUUGCUAAUGAAUUGUGAAUGGUUAUGUGGGGCUUGGUGACCAUAAAUGAAAUUAAAUAUGUGCUGAAUCAAUUCAUGUGGCCUAUUGAAAUGAUCAAUGGUUAAAUAGUUUUGUGAAGGUCAAAUGUGUAUCUAUUGAAUUGGCAUAGUGGACAUAAAUGAGUCAUGAUAAUAUUUAAAUGAAUGUGUAUACUUGUGGAUGGUUGGUAAAGGCCUUGUUGGCCAUGUAUUGAGUUAUCAUGAUUGUGAAUUCUUUAUAAAUGGUUUCUAUGAGCCCUGUUAAUUAUGUAAUAAAUUAGCAUAUGGCUUAGAAUGGUGUGAUGGGCUUAUAAGUAUGAAUGGUUGAUUAUUGAUGUUGUUGGUCAUGUAAUUUGUUAAACUAUGAUUAUGUUAGUUUGAUGUCAAAGAAGAGGGGUAAAAUUUCCUUAAAUUAAACUUGAAUUGUGUAUUGAACCAAGUGUGGUGAACACGUAAUAUAAUAUUUUUAAUGAAAUGAGAAUAGUUUGUAUGGGUCAUAAGGACCACAAAUUGCAUUGUAUGAUUAAAUGAUUUAAGGCAUUGUCCUAAUGAAAUGGUUAAGCAAUGAAGGCUCCUAUAUGGACCACAUGGUCAUAUAUGAUGUUGAAUUGGCUAAAUGAGCCAUGGCCCUUAAAUGUGAUAUAAGUUGUAUGUAUGUAAAUACAUGAACUAAUGAGUCAAGAGCUCUAAUGCCGACCAAGGAUUCCAAAGAACAAUAAGUGAUUCGAGUUCUUCAUCUAAUAAAAUAACUAGUGAUUCUAGUUCGUAGUCCAAUGAACAAUAGGUGAUUUGAGUUCCUCGUCUAAUGACAUGUCUAGCAAUUCGAGUUUCUAAACCAAUAAUAUGGCUAGUAAUUCGAGUUCCUAGUCCAAAGAGAUCUCUUAAGGUUGGAGUACCUUAUCAAGUGACAUGGCUAGUGACUUGAGUUCCUAUACCAGUGAUAAGAUAAGACUAGUGAUUUGAGUUCCUAGUUCAAUGAAAUGAAAUGGCUAGUAAUUCGAGUUCCUAGAUUGGUGAAACAACUAGUAAUUUGAGUUCCUAUUUUAAUAAAAUGGCAAUGAGAUUAGUCAAAUGGGUAAACCCGGUUAAAUUGGAUGCUUGGUCAAAUAUGAUAUGUUGGUUGAGUUGGUUUAUGGUUUGGAGCCCCCUGACUAAUGUAACAAAGAAGUAUAGGUUAUAAACUUGGUAAGGUGGAUGAUUAAAAGUUCUUCACUAGCUAUCUCAUAAAUGAAUAAUUUGAGAAUACAUGUUAUAUCUUGCUCCUUUUGCGGCAUAAUAUAAACAUAAUGUAUAUGUAUAUGUAUAUGUGCAUGAUUAUGUGUUUAUGAAGUCUAUUAAAGUUCUAUGCUUAAUAAGAAUGGUUUGAAUCUAAGUGUUGAAUAUCGAACUCCACUUUAUGUCUCAUGAUUGAAGAAGUCAAAAAUGUUGUUAAAUCUUGAUGUCUUGUUGACAGGCGAUAUAUCUAUACAUAAGAUAAGUGUUCAAAUAUUAUUAAACAUGAUAUGUUGACUUCUUGUUGAAUGAUGGUAUUAUUUUAUCCUUUAUCCUCGAGUUACAUGCUAGCUCUCCAACCAAUAAUCGUCUUUAGAUGCUAUGUCCCUACACAACAUAGGGGCUGGAGUGAACAGGUGUUGAGCGGAUUUGUGCAUUGACCUUGAAGUGGUGAGCUUCAAUACUCCAAAAGACCUACCUCUCAUAGUCAUGUUACUCUACGUCAUAUACUUGUAUAGAUUUAAUAAUUGGCUAAUGUCGAGGGUUUGUCCCAUAUAUCUUUGACUUUUAUUGGGUAAAGGUUUUAUGGAUGACUAUAGACUUAGGCAUAUUGGCUAGACUGUUGUUAUUAAUAAAAUAUUAGAUAUUGUCUUUUUAGCCUUACAUUUUUACUAUCUUGUUAUCUGGUCGGACUUUAUCUGACCCUUAUGGAUGAUUGUUGAAGAUUAGGUUGGGUUAUCGGGGUGACCUUUAGUUCAUGUGAGCUUGAGGUACCCAUACGACAUGGCCUUAAGUUUGGGUUAUGUCAAGUUAGUAUCAGAUCCUAUGUUCAUGAUCAGUUGGGAUUCCACAAAGCCGUGCCAAGUAGAGUCACUUUUAUGGGUGUGAAGUACGUCACACUUAUAAGAGAGAGGCUAUAAGGAAUUUAGGAAUGUUCUCUUUGUUAUGUUUUAAUAUCAAUCUAUGUAGAUUCUAAGGUAUUAGAUUCCUUUGAUUUAUGUUUGAUCAUCUUUUAGAUGUUCCAUGUUUUAUUACGAAUCUGUGUGCUUUCCUCUAUUUUAUAUUACUUAUGGGUGACGUAUUUAUGUUAUGUAAUCUGCUUUUGUGCUUUACUAUGUGUUUGUGUGGUAUCUCAUGCCUUGAGCCGGGGGUCUAUCGGAAAUAGCCUUUCUACUACUUUAGAGGUAGAGGUAUGGACUGCGUACAUCUUACCCCCCCAGACCCCACUAGGUAGGAAUACACUGGGUUUGUUGUUGUACCCAAGAAGAUCUGAUGUUUGGGUAAACCCUUUUGUCCUGGCUGAGGGCAAUAUAGACAACACUUAUCUAACUUCUGGGGUUUAGACCCGAUCAAGGGUCAUGACAUAUGACUUUCCUCAUGGGGUUCCAGUUGUUCCCACUAACCCCUUUAUUUGGGUGACACUUCUCCUCAGUUACCUCAUAAUGUUGGGUUUCAUCUCUCCCUUCUUAGUUGGCUAAGAUUGGUAAAAAAGGUCUAGAAGAAAUUAUUGGGGGGGACCUAGUAUUUACCCCACAAUUGGUUUUCUCUACCCAAAUCUAUUAGGAAAUAAACAUCUUUAGAUUGAUAAUACUUUAGGGCAUGGCGUGCCCAAUAUAAGGCCAGAGCCUAAUCCUCUUUAACCUAUCAUCCUUACCGGUUUUGCAGUAGAACACAUCAUGGUUGUUGUGAGAAAGAAAAGAACUGGUGUUUAAGUGUGUCCAACUGGGUCAAAUACAAUAGGAGUGUUGUAUAGCGGCUACCACUUGGUCAAGACAAAGGAUGUCAAUUACCAUUUCUCUAGAUAUUAAACCCAGGGGUGCUGUUUCUAGCUUCGACCUGGGUUGGGACCAUCUCAAUACUCUUGCUAUCCCUCAAGAAUCCGAGGCAUCUUCUAAUGCUGAUACGGGUAUGUUGAGACUUUUCUCCUAUGAUGCGUAUUGUUUUCUAGAUCCAGGGUUUACUCUUUCCUAGGUGACCCCGUAUAUGGUUAUGCAUCUUGAUUGUGGUCCUAAGAGUCUGUCAGUUCCUUUAUCUAUUUCUACCUCGGUUAGAGACCAUGUGGCUGUUAGAAGAUUCUAUAGGGGAUGUAUGGUAUCUGAUGGUGUUUGAGACACUCUUGUAAACUUGGUAGAGUUGUACAUGGUUGAACUAGAUGUCAUCCUAGAAAUGGAUCGGUUAUACUUUUGCAAUGCUUCUUUAGAUUUUCAGACCCAUAAGGUCAUGUUUAACUUCCUUAAUGAGUCAAUCAUUAUAUGGGAAGAUGGUUCUUUUGUUCUUUAGUACCUAAGAAAGGAUUCUUUUUUUAUCUCAAAGCCUGAAAAUUGAUUCCAAAGGGAUGUUUGUAUCAUUUGGUUUGAUUUAAAGGUCCUAACUCAGAAGGGUCUUCUCGAGAAUCCAUUUUCAUGGUUGAUGAGUUUCUUGCCAUGUCUUUUGGGUCAACCAAAGCCUUUGUGGCAUUCAUGGGCUUAUGAAAUAGGUCUUCUAUCCAUUCGUGGACAUACUUUUAAUUAUCUUCAUUGAUGAUAUCUUAGUGUAUUCUAAGAAUGAGGCGGAUCAUGCAGAUCACCCCCAUGUCAUGUUGGAAACUUUGAAGGAUCAUUAUUUGUAUGCCAAGUCCUACGAGUGUGAGCUUUGGUUGAAGGUCAUAGAUUUUUUUGUUCAUGUUAUCUAUCUUUAAUAAAGGGAUCAUGGUUGAUUCCCAGAAAAGUAUGGGGUGGUGUGUCUUUUGGUGUCUGGACUAAAGGGCUUAACCUUUAGUAUGUUGUGUUGGGAUGAGUCUCAUUUGUGACCUAGGUGGUCACUAUGAAGCACUCCAACCUAUGGUGUCAUAUUUUUGUUGAGGGUCUUGCCUUGAGUGGCGUGAGUGGUUAUUGUGUUUUAGGUUCUCCGUAACCUUUCUUAUGUUGGUUAAUGGCUCGGGGGCAUGGUGAUGUGUUGAAAUAAUAAAUGUAGAAGUCCUUAAGUUGGGGAGACUCUAGGGUUCCUUUUAGGCAUCGUAUGGUGGAUGUCGACCUUUCACUUGGGGUGGGGUAUAAAGUUGAUAGGGGUAAGUUGCUUGGCCCCGAUUUAGUUCACCAAGCUUUAUAAAAUGGUGAAGGUGAUUCAUGAGAGGUUGAAAACCACUCAAAGUCGCCAAAAGUCCUAUGCGGGCAUGUGGCUUAGGAGUUUAGAGCUUAGUGUUGGCGAUUGGUUAUUCUUGGAGGUGUCUCCCAUGGAGGGAAUAGUGUGAAUCGGUAAAAAAGGGGAAAGCUUAGUCCCCUAUAUGUUGAUCCCUAGAUGGUCUCGAAAGGGGUUGGCAAUAUUGCCAAAAAAAUGGAGAUGCCUACUAGGUUGAACCCCAUUUCCCCCAAUUGUCCAUAUCUUUAUGUGUGAAAAUGUGUAGGUGAUUCCUUAUUGGUUGUUCCCUUAGAGGACAGUGAUGUUUUGGGUUCCUUGACUUGUGAAGAGAUCCCGGUGAGGAUCUUGGAUAGGCAAUUUUGCCGAUUGCGAACAAUAGAAGUGGCUUCAGUGAAGGUUCUAUGGAGGAACCAAUGGUCCAAGAAAGCUACUUGGGAGACGGAAGAGGAUAUCAAGUCCAAGUAUCCGCAAGUAUGUUCCAUUCUGGAAACUCAAGCUUGAGGUAUGUGUUGUUGUUCCUAACUUGGUUUAUGUCUUUAAUAGAUAAUGCAUGAAAUUUCCAUUGCUUACAACUGAUUCAUGUCUUUGUUAGACAAGGGAUUCAAGUUUCAAAAUGUUGAGUUUCUUUAUAACUCUAAAAGACGGUGAGGAUUGUGAUAUGUGUUGUGUUAUAACCUUGUGGUGUGCUUUGUCCUAGUUUAGUUGAAAGUGGUUUACAAUAUGUUCUAAUAUGUUAACUUGUGUCGAUGAUUUCCUUACCCAUCAUUCGAGGAUGAAUGAUCCUAAGUGGAGGAGAACGAAACACCCAAGAAUGUGGACUUGCUAAAAUUUUUGGUUGAUUGGUGAUGAUCAUGAUAUAUAUUGGGUUGUAUCUAUGUUAUGUGUUGUUUAUAACUUGCGUAAAGGUUGCCUUGAUAUAUGUUGAUGUGUUAACUUGUGUUUAUGCUUGAUUCUCCUAUUAUUUGAGUACGCAUAGUCCAAGUGGGGGAGAAUUUAAACACCUAGACUUGAACCCUUGAAAAGACAACUGCUUUUGAUAUCUCUGGGGUAGGUACGAUUGAAGGGCUUGAGUUGUACCCUUGGUCAUGACUCGUACCCUUCUCCCCCUACCUUUUCAUACCUUGAGAAGUAAGUUAAGGUAGCACACUAUCUCCUAUACGACAAGGCCAUCCCUUGGUCGUAAGCAUUCAUAUGAGUCGUAUACUACAAGGUCAUAUGGAGUGAAAACCUAACCUAGAGUGGAUUUUUUUUGUUACAGGUGAAGCUCAUGAUUGGGGCAUGAUUUGUACCCUUUGGUUAUGACUCAAAGGUUCCCUCUUAUUCCUACAGUAGUGUGAUUAACCUAGGAGAAGCCUAGGGUACGAGUUAGGGUACCACUCAUACCCUAGGUCAUGAUUGCCAUAUGAACCAUAUAUGGGAUUCGUACCCCUACACAAGUGGACUUUCUAGCUUUUUAUUAAGGAACUUUUGGUAAUUUCCCUUGCCUAAAACCCUAAGUCAUUUCACUAUAUAAACCAUUUCAUCCUUCUACAUCUUCAUUUAUAAUACAUAAACAUUCCAAAUACUCAGAAAAGAUUCCUGGAGAAAGAUUGGGGGUUAGGGUUUGGAGGUGUUCAUCUAGUGGCAAUAUGAAGUCAAGAUUGUUGGUGUGUCAUCUUGUUUAAGUCAUGUACCUCUUCCACUUUCUAUAUAACUCUAAACCUACGUAUUUCAUAAUUAGAUUAGUAAGUGUACAUGGUGGUUUUUAAAUCAAAUCAAAAGUAUUUUGUUGCCUAAUGAUGAAUAAUGUUGACUAUUGCUUAGACUUCUGUUUAUACAUGUUAUUGUUGAUGUUUUGCAGGUGUGGAUGCUUUUUUUUCUAGUCUAACGAAUAAGUCUUGAGAAACCCUAAUGUUGAUGAUUUUUGCUUUGAAUAUAGCCUUGGUAGAGGUAUGUACACAAGGUAUUUGUGAAAAUGUCUAAGUAAAAUGCCUAGUUACUUGUUGAUGAUGUAUUGAGUUAGGGCAAUGUCCUAAUGAGCAUGAAUGGUUGGAAAUGGUGUGUUAAAGUUAUUGCGGGCUAUGUAUUAUGUAUUUGAUGUUAUUGUUGGGCUAAUGACUAAUAAGGGUUUGAAACCCUAAACAUAAAAAUGAACUUGUUAUGUGUGUUGAUCCUAAAUGUGGUGAGAAUGUGGUGAAAGAUUGCUAAUGAAUUAUGAAUGUUUAUGUGGGUCUUAGUGACCAUAAAUGAAAUUAAAGAUGUGUUGAAUCAACGCAUGUUGCCUAUUGAAAUGAUCAAUGGUUAAAUAGUUUUGUGAAUGUCAAAUGUUAAUCUAUUGAAUUGGACUAGUGGGCAUGAAUGAGUCAUGAUAAUUAUAAAUGAAUGUGAAUACUUGUGGAUGGUUGGUAAAGGACUUAUUAGUCAUGUAUUGAGAUAUCAUGAUUUUGAAUUCUUUGUAAAUGGUUGCUAUGAGCCUUGUUAAUCAUGUAAUGAAUUAGCCUAUGGCUUAGAAUGGUAUGAUGGCCUUAUAAGUAUGAAUGGUUGAUGACUGAUGUUGUGUUGAUGUUGUUGGCCAUGUAAUUUGUUAAACUAUGAUCAUGUUGGUUUGAUGUCUAAGAAGAGGGGUUCAAUUCCCUAAACUAGAACUUAAAGUGUGUAUUGAACCAUGUAUGGUGAACACGUAUUAUAAUGUUGCUAGUGAAAUGAGAAUAGUUUGUAUGGGUCAUAAGGACCACAAAUUGCAUUGUAUGAUGAAAUUAUUUAAGGCAUUGGCCUAACGAAAUAGAUGACCAAUGAAGGCUCCCAUAUGGACCAUGUGGUCAUAUAUGAUAUCGAAUUGGCUAAAUAAGCCAUGGCCCUUAAAUGGGAUAUAAGUUAUAUGUAUAUAAAUGCAUGAACUAAUGAAUCAAGAGUUCUAAUGCCGACCAAGGAUGCCAAUGAACAACGAGUGAUUUGAGUUCCUCGUCAAAUGAAAUAACUAGUGAUUCAUGUUCCUAGUCCAAUGAACAACGGGUGAUUCGAGUUCCUUGUCUAAUGACAUAGCUAGCGAUUCGAGUUCCUAGACCUGUGAUAUGGCUAGCAAUUUGAGUUUCUAGACCGGUGAUACAACUAGUAAUUCAAGUUUCUAGUCCAAAGAGAUAUCUUGAGGUUAGAAUACCUCGUCAAAUGACAUGGCUAGUGAUUCGAGUUCCUAGAUCAGUUAUAAAAUAGGACUAGUGAUUCAAGUUCCUAGUUUAAUAAAAUAAAAUAACUAGUGAUUCGAGUUCCUAGGUUGGUGAAAUGACUAGCAAUUCGAGUUCCUAGCUCAAUAAAAUGGCAAAGAGAUUGGUCGAAUGGGUCAACAUGGUUAAAUUGGUUGACUUGGUCAAAUGUGAUAUAUUGGUUGAGUUGGUUUGGGGUUUGGAUCCCCGUGACUAAUGUAACAACGAAGUAUAAGUUAUAAACUUAGUAAGGUGGAAGAUUGAAUGUUCUUCACUCCAUGUCAUGUAUGCUAAUUCUUGUUCCUUUUGUGGCAUAAUAUGAACAUGAUGUAUAUGUCUAUGUAUAUGAGUAUGUUUUUAAGAAGGUGAUUAAAGUUCUAUGCUUAAUAAGAACGAUUUGAACCUAAGUGAGGAAUAUCGGAGUCCUCCACUUUAUGUUUCAUGAUUGAAAAAGUUGAGAAUGUUGUUAAAUUUUGAUAUCUUGUUGACAUACGAUAUAUCUAUACAUAAGGAUAAGUGUAUAAAUAUUAUUGAACGCGAUACAUUGACUUAUUGUUGAAUGAUGAUAUUAUUUUAUCCUUAUCCUUGAGUUACAUGCUAGCACUCAAAUUGUUAACCGUCUCUGGACGCUAUGUCUCCACGCAACAUAAGAGCUAGAGCUUCUUCUUUUUAUAUGCAAUGAACAGGUGUUUGAGCGGAUUCAUGCAUUGAGCUUGAGGUGGUGAGCUUCCAUACUCUGAAAGACCUACCCUUUAUAGUCACGUUACUCUACAUCAUAGACUUGUAUAGAUUUUUUAAUUAGCUAAUGUCGGGGACAUGUCCCGACAUAUCUUUGAAUUUAGUUUGGUAGAGGUUUUAUGGAUGACUAUGGACUUGGGCAUAUUGGCUAGACUGUUGUUAUUAAUGAAAUAUUAGAUAUUGUCUUUUAGUCUUACAUUUCUGGAAUCUUGCUAUAUGGUUGGACUUCACCCGACCCUUGUGGAUGAUUGUUAAAGAUUAGGUUAGGUUAUCGAGGAGACCUCCUAUUCAUGUGAUCUUGAGGUGCCCAUAUGACAUGGCUCGAAGUUCGUGUCGUGUCACUUGCGGCCAGACUCUGACUCACCAUCCUCUUCAGACUGGAACUGUGUGUGGCGGUUAUUUACUAGGAUUCCUUAUCCUUGGCCUAGUAGGUGAAGGUGUUUCUUUCGGUGGAGCAACUUUAGAUCCCAGAGGUUGACUUUUUCUUGAUUUCACAUCCCUUAGGUGGAUAUUCUUUGAUGAUCCACUUGACUAAUCGUCACUGGCUUUAUUCUUAAGAUGAUGAAUGAUGGGGAUUGCUUCAUUGGUGUUUACUUCUUGGUUAAAUAAUUCUUGGGUGCCAUUGGUAACUAUGGAAGCACACACGUUAGUUAAUCCUAUGAAAAAGAAAGAAAAAAAAAAUAAACAAGUAUGCAUCAGUUGUUGGGUACCCUAUGAGUCAGGUACCACUCGUAGCGUGAAAAAAGAUAUAUGGAUCAUUUAGUGGUCAGGCUAUGAGUUGUUGUGUCAGAAAAUGAAUCAUCACCAACACUUAUAGUCUGACAAGAAAUAUUUCCUUAAGGUAUUGCCCCGCCCAGUCACCACGAGUCCAAACUAUGAGUGUAUGGUGAGACAACAACUAGUAGUGUGAGCAGAAACCAAGUAUCCCUUAGCAUCCAUGUUCCUAGUGGCUACAGAUCAUUUAAUGACUUGUUAGUAUACCCUAUGAGUUGUUAUGUUCCCCAUAGUAACUGUUACAUGGAUAUUUAGAGGGCUUGAUUUUAAAUAUUGACUUCCCAAGGGUACUCAGACUUUUCCAUGGGUUUAACAUCUACCAUACACUCCUAAUUCAUCCCCAUAUUCUAAGUUCAACCUGUUCUAUUUCUCAAGAACAAAUAUACAUGGAUUUAGCCUAAGCACAUAAUUAAACAUAUCAUCCAUGUGUUCUUCAGGAAAAAUUUUCCACAACAUAGGGUUUAUAUCAUUAAAGUCGUAAUACUUAAAUGACAGAAUAAUUUGCUUGAAUUUCUCAAAAUUUUUUGCGGUUUCCCUUUAUUCUUAUGAAUAGAGACUUUUGGAGAGAUUUUACUUUGAUUUUGAUGUGAAAGGGGUAAUUUUGGGUAUGUAUUUUAAGAGUUAAAAAAUAGUUAUAGGAAUGGAGGGAGUCACAGACUUUUAAAUAGAUGUAAAUCAGUUUAUGGGUUUUGGUUUCCUUUAAUUUCAUCCGAGUUGGGUCGGGUCCACAUUGGGCCCACAAUGUUGAGCCCAAUAAUUAGUCAUGGUAAUGACUCAUUCCCACAAUCUACAAGUCAUAGACCCCAUCUAUUAUGACUAAAACCUUACCUAGGUUCUCCAGUAAUGACGAAUCAAGUUAAUGAGUCAUUGACAAUGACAAUGUCUCAUUCUGAGAGUCGUCAUGACUCUAGAGAAAACUUACCUAAGAUGGACUGGGCUCCUUCUCCCUACGACUCCUGGUGAUGAGUCGUAAGGUGACCCUAUGACUCGUAGGGUCCCCUAUAGGGACCUGUCACCAGAAAACUUUUUGGUAUUUUUAUACAAUCUCCAGUCCUGCACACUGAACACACAAGUCACCCCAUAAUGUAACAAGUACAAAGCAUGGGUUUCCUCCCAUAUAGCGCUUGAUUUAACAUCAUGGAAAAAUGUGUCUAAGUUGGAUACUCAGACUUCACCAACCAGCCCAUAGGUUUCCUCCUAUGUAGUGCCUGAUUUAACAUUACGGCACGACACAGUUGUCUUGGUCACUCAAACUUCACCAAGGUCCAUAUAAACACAUACUUUCACCUCAUCAAGGUUUUCGAUAUAGUGCUUCACCCGCUGCCCAUUCACCUUAAAUGAGGCUUCGCUAUCAUGUUUCAACUCGAUAACACCAUAUAGGAAUACCCGAACCAUGGUGAAUGGUCCAUACUACCUAGACUUCAACUUUCCAAGGAACAAGUGAAGUCUUGAAUUAAACAACAAGACCAAAUCACGGGACUUAAACACUCAUUUCUCGAUUCUUUUGUCAUGAUACAACUUUAUCUUUUCUUUGUAUAGAGAAGAACUCUUAUAAGCAUGGAGCCAUAACUUAUCCAACAUAAUCACCUUGCUUAAUCAUAACUUAGCUGCAUCAUACCACUCCAAAUUAAGCUUUUUCAACUCCCAUAGUUCCUUGUGCUCAAGUUUGAUCGGCAAGUAGCAUGCCUUUCCAUACACAAGCUGAUAUGGAAAGGCACCUAUGGGGGUCUUAAAUGCUAUUUGGCAGUCCUACAAUGCAUCAUCUAACUUUCUUGACCAGUCAGUCAUGUUGGCAUUCACAAUCCUUGCCAACAUGGACUUGAUCUCUCUAUUGUACACCUCAACCUGCCCAUUCGUCUAAGCAUGGUAAGGUAUUGACACCUUAUACUUAACACCAUAUUUUUUUAGUAGGGACUUGAAAAGGUGAUUGCAGAAGUAAGACCUACCAUCACUAAUAAUUGGAAACGAAGUGCCAAACCAGGAAAAGAUGUUCUUUUUUAAAAAUGUAGUGACACUUUGACCCUCAUUGUUGGGAAGUACAUCCACCUCCACCUACUUUGAAGCAUAGUCGACUACCACUAGAAUGUACUUAAUCUCAUAGGAUCUUAUAAACAUUCCAAUGAAAUUAGUCCCCCAUACAUCAAAUAAUUCCAACUCUAAGAUAGGUGUCAUGGAGAGUUCAUAUUUCUUUGAGAUAUUGCCUUGUCGCUGACACCGGUCAUAAGCUUAAGCAUAGUCAUGAGCAUCCUCAUAGAUAGUUGGACAAUAAUACCCACACUGCAAAAUUAUAUGGCUAUUCGGGUACCACCAUAAUGACUCCCAACAGGAGAUGAAUGACAACCCUUAAGGAUGCUUAUCAUCUCUACUUCAGGAAUACAUCUAUGAAUAACACCAUCCAAACAAAUCCAAAAGAGAUAAGGCUCAUUAGAGAAAAAUUUUCUCACCUCAUGUAUGAACUUCUUUCUUUGCUGGAAUGAUAAAUCUUUCAAAACAAGAUCACUUGCCAAAAAGUUGGCAAAGUCAAAAAACCAAGGGAUUAAAUCUUGAGAUGCUGCCAAGAUAUGCUAAUUUGGAAAAGUAACAUCUAUGUCAAGAUCAUCCCCUAACUUCUGCAUUGUCUCCUCCUCAAGGUGAGAUAAGUGAUCAGUAACCUAGUUCUCAAUGCCCUUUCAAUCUUUCACCUCAAAGUCAAAUUCUUGCAACAAGCAGACCCAACGUAUUGACCUUAGUUUAGCAUCCUUCUUAGACAUUAGAUAUCUUAAAGAUACAAAAUCUAUGUGCACUAUGACUUUAGUCCUACCAUAUAAGACCGAGACUUCUUGAAGGCAAAAACCAUUGCAAGUAACUUCCUGCUUAGUGACUGUAUAGUUCUUCUAUGUAGGUUUUAAUUUAUUUCAAUCAUAAAGAUUAGGUGAAGGAUUUUCUUGCAUAUUUUUCCUAGGAAAGCUCCCAAGGCUAUCCCACUAGCAUCACACAAAACCUCAAAUGGUAAAGACCAGCUAGGGGAUACAAUAAUAGCAUCCUAGAUCAACUACUCCUUAAGGCACCCAAAGCCUUGAGACAUACAUAAUUAAAUACAAAUUUCACCUCUUUCUAUAAAAGCUUGCGUAGAGGAUUAGCAAUUUUAGAGAAGUCCUCGAUGAACCUCCUAUAAAAGCCAAAUAACCCAAAAAGCUUUGGAUACCUUUAAUUGAGACUGGGGGAGGUAAUUUUUCAAUCACCUAAAUCUUCGCUCUAUCCACCUUAAUACCCCAUUUAUAGAUUUUACGACCGAGGACAAUACCUUUUUUCACCAUAAUAACACCUCUCUAAAUUCAGCAUUAGAUUACAUGUCUCACAUCUUUGGAAUUCAUUGGCCAAAUAGUUUAAUAAAUCAUCAAAGGAGUCCCCAACUACUGAAAAUUCAUCCAUGAAUACCUCUACAGUGUCUUCUACCAUGUUAGAAAAUAUAGACACCAUACAUCUCUGAAAGAUAGUGGAAGCAUUGCAUAAUCUAAAUUGCAUCAUCUUGACUACAAAAGUCUUAUAAGGGCAAGUAAAUGCAGUCUUUUCCUGGUCCUUGAGAGCAAUAAAAGUAUAAUUGUAUCAUGAUUACCCAUCAAGGAAAUAGUACCAAACCCUGGUUGUUGGUCUAUUAAGCAUAUGAUCCAUGAAUGGCAUAGGGAAAUGGUCCUUUUAAGUCUAAGUACUCAACUUCUUGUAAUCCAUAAAUGCUCUCUAUCUGAAAACUGGUCUCAUGGGCACCAAUUCAUUCAUUAGGGUCCACAGUGAUCCCACUCUUCUUAGGCACGCAUUGAACUUGGUUGACCCACUUGUUGUCUGCUAUAAGGUAAACCACUCUAAUAUCUAACCACUUGAUAAUUUCUUUCUUCACUACCUCCUACAUCUAUAGAUUCAUCCUAUGCUAGUGCUCGAUGCUGGGUAUAUACUCUGAUUUAAGUUGUAUCUUAUGAGUGCAAAUAUAUUAUCCCAUAAUGCCUGCAAUAGUUUAUCCUAUGGCCCUCUUGAUCCUCUACAACAUUGAAAGCAAUGAUUUAACCUGUGUUUCUAAUAAAUCAGCAGCAAUCAUGACUGGCAAGGUAUUAUCGACCCCCAAAAUGCAUAAUAAAAGUGAGAUGGUAGGGUCUUCAAUUCCAAGACCGGUGGAUCCUUCAUAGAUAGUUGAGUUGGAGGAGUGGUUCUAUUCUUCAUAUCAAGAUCCAGCUUCUUCAGAGUAUAGUUACUAAAACCUGUACCACACAAUGCACUUACCAUCUCAUCAUACUUAUCAAUGCCACCAUUGUCAAAGUUUAUGAUAACCAUUAUUAAUGCCUCAAGCCUAAGUCUCUGUUUAAUGGGCAUUUUCACUACAUCAUCAUUAAUAGUAUCAGUCAUGGAAACCACUCUCACAUCCUUAGGUUGUCCCAUAGACUGACACAUAUUAAAAGUAACAUGGUCAUUAUUGAGUCUAAACUUCAUCUGCCCUAUCUCCAUGUCAACCAAGUCCCUACCUAUAGCUAGGAAAGGCCUUCCCAAGAUAAAAGGGACUUCAAAGUCUACCUCAUAUACAAGAAUCAUGAAAUUGGCUGGGAAUAUGAAGGACACCACCCUCACCAAAACAUCACAAAAAAUACCAACCGAUUUCUUCACAGUUCGAUCAGCCAUAGAUAACCACAUGGAUAUAGGUUUAGGUAAAACAAAAAUUACUUGUAUAUUACUAAUAGUAUUAGACUAUACUAUCUCCCAAGUCACAUAAAUCUUGAGAUAAGUUGAAGGACCCAAUGGUACAUAGAAUAGUAAAUACUCUGGGGUCCUUCUUCUUCUUAACAAACGAUCAAGAAAUGAUGAAACUUUCUCAAAACUCACCAUCCAAUUUCUAGUAAAAAAAUCCUUCAUGAACUUAGCAUAGAUAGGCAUCUUAUCCAACACCUCUACAAAAGAAAUAUUAAUAGAUAGUUUAUACAAUAUCGGUAGAAACUUUUUCUACUUCCCUUCCUCUUAUUUCCUCUUCAAUCUCUAAGAAAAAUGAGAGAGAGGUCAUGGAAUGGUAUUCAAUAUAGGAUAGACUACCUUUUAAUUUCCUUUAUCCUUCCUAACACUUUUAUCAACACCUAUUGAUUUUUGUGAUGACUCCCUACUAGUCACCAACUAUUUAGUUUCGGCUUUAAGGGUCUCAUCUUCAUCCACAAAAUCAUUCAUAGCUUUAUCAACUACAUACAUGGGAGGAUAAAUACUGGACUUACCAUUCUGAGUGGUGAUGGCCAAACAGUGAGUGUCGUUCUUAGGAUUAUGCAUUAUAUUACUCGAAAAGUUGCCUGGUUGAUGCUGAUUCAAGGUUGCAGACAUUUUUCUAAAUUGCUACUCCAAUUGUUUAAUUACGGUGGCAUGUGAUUCUAUGUAACGCCCUGGGAGUACACCCUAGACUUCACAGGUGAUCGAGACUACGAGUAGCCCCAAGCUAACCCUUUAAGCUUUCUAAACUUGGAACUCAUAAUAAAGGUAAACUUGACAUACAAAAUCUUAACUGAAUUAAUAUCUUAUCUGACAGUCUUAAUCUUAGAAAUCUUGAAAAUAAAUACUUUAGAAUAUAAAAUAUAAAAUAGUGCAACAAGCCUCUACCUCUAACUAGAGAGCCACUGGGAGAAGCCUCAGCUGACUCGAACUUGACAGAAAUCAAAUAACCAUAAUACUUUAUCAAUAUCAAAGUCUAAAUACAUGGGUCCUCGAACUAUAAGGACUGACCAAAUGUUUGGAUAUAGGUAGAGAUGCCUGUAGUCAAUCACACUGCUAGAACUAAGCACUAGGACCAUAUUAUAAGACAAUGUAGCACAUAGAUAUAUAUGUGGAUCAGUACUUCUUAAAUGUAUUGAGUAUGUAGGGGUGAAUGAAUAAGUAAAACAAUAACUCAAUGUCCAUAUCAACUUUCAAAGAAUGCAUGCUAAGUGUAAAUGGCUCAUCUUGGGCUUGAAUAAAAUUAAUAGUUGAUAACUCAUAAAUCAUGAAUAAUAAAGCAUACUGAAUAAAUUUGUGAGCCAUACCACUUAGUUCUAAAAGCCUUACUUUUAUUCUUUUUUGGGAGAUUUUUCUUACUGACAUAAACCAUGUGAGCUAACAUGGAGUCCAAUGUCCUACCCAUGUUGGGGAGAGUUAUUCUACCCUUUCCAUUGAAAUAGAACCUUAACUUGAGUGAUCACUAUCUUUAGCUUCAUCCAUAUUGGGAAUAAGCUUAACCUACAUUCUCUCGUAGUUCUGGGGCAUGCGACCUUGGACUCAUACCCAACUUGGUGCUAAAUACUACUCCCUUAUUACUUAUAUGCCCAUACUUUAGGAAAUCCACCUUAAAAUACCAUAAGAGUUUAUAAAAUGAAAACCAAUUAUGUUUCUCUUUGCUUUAAUUCUCAGAAUGAACAAAUGUGGAUUCCAUAUCAUAGCUUAGGAUCAAAAGAUCAUUUCUUACUUGAAAUAUUGGUAUAAACUUAUCAAAUAAGAACUUAAAAAUAUAAUUCUCUUGAAAUCUCAACACUUAAACUUAGGGCUUGAAAUUCAUGCUUAAAAAUCAUGGUAAUUCAUAACAACACUUCAUGCUUAAUAACAAUCUUGAAAUACCUCAACAAUAUCAAAUUAAAAUAGUUCAAUCUUAUUUAUAAUAUAAAUCUUAUAAGUUAAAACCCAAACCUAUGUAAUUCUUGAUAUACAUAAUAAUCACAUGCUUUAAGAAUGUAGAAACUUGGGUAUGAACCCUAAUUCAAAACAAGUAAUUUAAAUCUUAAAAUCAUGCAACUUGGGUACAAGGGUGAAAGGAUACCCUUGUUCAUAACCCCACAUACGUUGAUUGAAAGAAUCCUUAGAGAGAACUUCGAAUAUGGAACUUAACUUCUUGAUUCUUGAGAUAUGGCACUUGGAUUUUUUUCUUGGAAAUGAAGGAGGAUUUUUUAUUUGUUUACUGAUUUUUUAGGGUUAAGAGCAUGAAGUUAGUGAUUAAAUCAGUCAAAUCUAGUCUCCAGAAGAGUUAGUGAUGACUUUCUAAAUGAUUAAUGUUUAAAUCAGUUAGAAUUUUCCCAAUUUCGACCUUUUCUUAUAUCGAAAAUUGAAUUAGCUUUCCAAUGAUACCAAUUUUGUCUAAAUCCGAUAUUGGAGUAGAAUGUUAAGGACGAUUUAAUGAAAGCUAUCAAAACCACCCAGGUGCGACGAGCAGGUUGAUGGACCAUCGAGAUAGCGACGGACCGUCGCCUAAACCAUCGUAGCUAAUGCAGUAAGUCAAUCUUUUGGAUAAGGUGUGAUGAAUAGGUUGACAGACCAUCGAGUUAGCGAUGGACUAUCGCCCAAGCCAUCGCUACUAAGGCAGUGAGUCCCUAUUCUGGCCCAGGUGUAACGGUCAGAACGACGGACCGUCGAGCCAGUGAUGGACCGUUGCACGAGCCAUCAUAGAUCCCAUUCGACAAUUUAAAUCUAUUUUUAAAAGGGUAUUUGGGUCUUUUUCCACCUGUUUUAACCCCUAAUUAUACCAGACAAUAGCUCAUAACUUUGUUAUUUAUUCACAACAUCCAAUUAGGGAUUCUCUCAAAGAUUAAUCCCCAAGAACAAGAAACCCUAGGUACUUAAUUUCAACUCAAGCAUUCAAUCUUUCCUCCACAAAUCUUUAAGAAAUCAUCAACCCACGUAUGUCAAGUGUUCAUUCAUGGAUUCUUUUCAUCCAUGAAGCCCAAGAAUCCAAUUUUAAAUUAUAAAUUGUGAUGUUUAUGUUGUGGAUUGAUUUUGAUCAUGUUGAUUUUGUGUAUGAUACCCAAGUUGGAAUCGUUAAAUGUGUUUUCAUUAAUUUAUGCUAGCAUGUGGAUUGAAAUCUACUAAAUUAUAUUGAUUUAUGAAACCAUAAUGAAUUAAUUUAAUAUCCAUGCCUAAGCUUAUAGUUAUGCAUGCAAGGUGUUUGAUAAAAUGCCUAAGAGAAUAGGAAAUAUACCUUAUGACUCAAUUGUGACCAAAAUGAUGAACCUAUGCUUUACCCUUAUGUUUAAAAUGACUUUCAUGCUAUUGUUAUGCAUUGAAAUUGUUUGAUAGGUUGUUCAUGAGAUUAGCCUAUGAAAUUAUGACAUGUUUAUAUGCUUUCCUAUUCAUGUACCAAACCAUGAUAAUCAAGUGCCUCGUGAAAUUUCCUAAUGAUUAUAUUAUGGAUUAUUAAAUAUGGUUGUGAGUCUAGGAAGUGUCAUGUUUUGUUAGUUUUAUGCUAUCAAGUCCUGGAGGUACUUGUACCCGAUAAUUUAGCUGUGUGCCUAGAGCUAGUGUCAUGUUUUCAAGAUACCCUCAGUCAAGCCAUGUUCAGUAGAAUUCAGUCAGUCUUAUGACUCAGGAAAACUAAAUAACCUCAGUCAGUUAUCAGAUCUCAGUGAUACUCUAUCAGUUAACGGAACUCAGUAAACUUAGUCCAGUCAGUUCAGUAUAACUAAUUCAGUGUCUAAUCAGAUGGGAAUAGGAUUCAGCACUGUGUAAGCCCAAGGAUGGGAACUCACCUACGAGUAGAAAGUGUGAUUCUUAGAAGCAAUCCUUAUGGUUCAGAACUACGUAGCCAGCGUAGGUUGAGACAUCUAACCUAUUAGAUGAGGGUUGAUGAGGUGGCUUUACCUAUUAUAUGAGGGUCCCACCAUUCUCGUUAGAGUACCUGUUAGAUGAGGGAUCACUCACAGCUUAUCCUUACCAAUGGCGCGGUAUUAACACCUUUCCAAUUGGGGUUACAGAUUGGACCCCAACUCAGCUAUAUUGCUUUAAUUAGGGUAUGUAGAUUAGAUGACUACUUCCCACAAUUAUAAUUUUAGUCUCAAUCUCAAUAAUAAAACUCAGAUAGUUCUACAGAAUUUAGGACUAUCAAAUACAGUCAACUCAAAAUAAUAUGAAACUCAGCUAGCCCUAUCAGAACCUAGACUGUCAGAUACAAUUGCUCGGUAUCAGUUAUAAGUACUUAUGUUAUCAGUAUUCAGACUCAAUAGUCAGUAGCAUUAUGAAUUCAGUUAUAAUUAUUUAUUUAUACAUGUAUUCUCACGUUCAUGUUAUAUAGUCGAUUAGCAUAGUUCAUGCUUAUAAACCCUUGCAUUCAGUCUACCUCACUUGCAUACCAGUACAUUCAAUCGUACUGAUGCAUUUGCCCUAUGGUGUUUUAUACCAUAGGUUCAGAAGCACGAGCUCCAGAACAUCAGUAGCAUUCCAGUCUCAACAGUUAGAGUUAGCAGUGAGUCCUCAUCCUUCGAAGACAUAAUCAUUUCUUUAUUAUUUCAUUACUUAGUUUAUUUUAGUAGUUAGAGUUAAUUAGGGACAUGUCCCAUCAACUCUUUAUUCAGAUAGUUUAGUUUUAGAGGCUUUCAGACUACAGUAUAUUCAGAUAGUUUAUUUUAGUUCAUAUUUUGGUACUGAUAUACCAUACUCUCAGAUAGUAUGUUUUAUCUAUUUUGAACCUUAUGGCAUAUUUCAGUCUAUUAUUUUUGUAUUUUACAUGAUGUCAUACAGUAUACAAGUACAGAUAUCAGUCAUGGAUUAGCUUGUGGUCCUUUGGAGUUGUGAGCACCGUGUAGCAUUAUGGGUACCAGAUUCAUGGCGUUACAAACUUGGUAUCAGAGCCUAAGGUUCAAUAGUGUCCUAGGAAGUCUGAAAACUGCAUCUAGUAGAGUCUUGUGCAUAGGUGUGUUGCGCACCAUAAUUAUGUACAGGAGGCUAUGAGAUAUUUUAGGAACAGUUUUCCAUUUUUUAGUAUUCAUGUCAUGCUAGUGAUCAUAAUCUCAAGUUAAUCUCUCAGUCUAAUCCCUUUCUCUUCCAUUUAUAGAACAUGCCUCCUAAGAAGAGAACUAGAAAUCAGUCAGCCCCUCAGCCCAAAAAUCCUUUGGGCGAAUAUGUCUUUUAUGCAGAGUUUAGAGCUGCAUUCACUACUCUUGCUCAGUCAGUUACUACUCAGAAUGAACUACCGGCUGUCAUUCCAGCCAACUCAGUGGCCAAUUCAGCUACAGCCAAGAUUCGAGACUUCACCCGAAUGAAUCCUCCAUCCUUUUUUGGGUUCCUCAGGAAUUCCUUGAUCAGGUUUAGUAGGUUACCGACAUCAUGGGGGUUACUUCUAGUGAGAGUACUGAGCUAGCUGCAUAUCAGUUUCAAGAUAUUGCUCACACUUGGUUCAAAUAAUGGAAGUCAAAAAGGUCAGUUGAUGCAGGAUCCAUAGAGUGGGAGGAGUUUUUCACUGUAUUCCUAGAGAGGUUCUUUCCUCUAUAUCUGAGAGAAGCUAAGGUGUUAGAAUUUAUCAACCUUAAGUAGGGAAACAUUGUGGUGAAAGAGUAUUCUCUUAAGUUUACUCAAUUAGCCAGAUAUGUUUCUCAUGUGGUUGUAGAUAGCAGGGCCAAGAUGAGUAAGUUUGUCUCUGGGGUGAAUAAUAAUAUGGUCAAUUAGUGCAGGUCCGCAAUGUUUAAUAGUGACAUGAACAUAGCCAGGCUUAUGACCCAUGCUCAAUAGAUAGAAGAACAAAAGAUAAUAAUGAGGGAAAAGCAGAAUAAUAGAGCAAGGAUCGGUAGUUUCAACUUUGCUCAGCCUAAGUUUGAGGGAGGAAACCAUUCUUAGUUCCAUCCUAAAUUAUUAGUUCCAGCUCCUUCUUCAGCCAGUACUCCAGCUCCUAAGUUUAGGGAUGGUAAUAGAGAUAGGGCACCAAGAUCUAAGUCUUAGGGCAGUGUUAGCAAUGUCCAAACUAAUCUCAUUUGUCAGACUUGUGGUAAGAACCACAAGGGUGUUUGCAGAGCUGGCAGCGAUGUCUGUUUUGGAUAUGGCAAGCUAGGCCAUAGAGUCAGAGAUUAUCCCCAAUCAGGUUAUCAGGGUCAGUAGAAUAGUUCCUCAGCUCAGUCCGGUCACCCAAAUCAGCAGGGUACCACUUCUAGUGCUACUAGUGGGAAACACCCAAACAGACUUUAUGCUCUCCAGUCCCAGAAAGAUCAGGAAAAUUCUCCUGAUAUGGUUACUGGUAUGUUACAGAUCUUUCACUUUCUUGUUAUGCUUUGCUAGAUCUAGGAGUUUCUUUGUACUUUGUUACUCCUUACAUAGCAGUUGAUUUCAGAGUUAGUCUCAAAAUUCUAGCAGAGCCCUUCUUAGUAUCUACCCUAGUGGGUAAAACUAUUAUAGCCCGACGGGUAUAUAGGAACUAUCCGAUUAUGGUAUCUCAGAAAAUCACUUUAGCAGACUUAGUCAAAUUAGAGAUGACUAAUUUUGAUGUCAUUCUCAACAUGGAUUGGCUUCCUUCCUGCUAUGCCAUAGUUGACUGCAGAAACAGAGUUGUCCAAUUUUAGUUUCCAAAUCUGUCCUAGAAUGGAGGGGUAGUACUUCAGCUUUCAGAGGUCAACUUGUUUCCUACCUUUGGGCACGAAAAAUGAUAUCUAAUAGAUGUGUCUAUCAUCUUGUUCGAGUUAAGGACAUUAGUUCCAAAACUCCAAAUCUUAAAUCAGUCCUAGUCAUGAAUGAAUAUUUAGAUGUCUUUCUCAAAGAUUUUUUAGGAAUUCCUCCCGAAAGGGAAAUAGACUUCGGCAUUGAUCUUCUUUCAGAUAUUCAGCCUAUAUCUAUUCCACCAUAUAGAAUGGCACCAGUAGAACUUAGAGAAUUAAAGGAAUAGUUAAGGGAUCUCCUAGACAAGGGAUUCAUCAGACCCAGUGUAUCCCCAUGGGGUGCACCAAUCUUAUUCGUAUGAAAGAAAGAUAGUUCUCUCAGAAUGUAUAUAGACUACCAUCAACUCAAUAAAGUCAUGGUCAAGAACAAGUAUCCUCUUCCCAGAAUUUAUGAAUUGUUCGAUCAACUUCAGGGUGCUAGCUAUUUUUCUAAGAUAGACCUCAGAUCAGGCUAUCAUCAGCUUAGAGUCAAAAGAAUGUGACAUUCCAAAAAUAGCUUUUCGUACUCGGUAUAGUCACUUCAAAUUCUUAGUUAUGUCCUUUGGUCUUACCAAUGCCCCAGUAGCUUUCACGGACUUGAUGAACCGUGUGUUCAAGCAGUACUUGGACAUGUUCAUCAUAGUCUUCAUAGAUGACAUUUUUGUCUAUUUCUGCAAUGAACGUGAUCAUACAGACCAUCUCAAAAUCAUGCUUCACACUCUAAAAUAUCAUUAGUUAUUCACCAAAUUCAGUAAGUGUGAAUUUUGGCUAAGGCCAGUAUCAUUCCUUAGUCAUAUCAUUUCUAGUGAUGGUAUUAAAGUUGAUCCUCAAAAGACCAAAGCAGUAAGAAACUAGCCUCACCCUGUAUCUCCAUCAGAUAUCAGAAGUUUCUUGGGUUUGGCUGGCUAUUUCAGAUGGUUUUUUGAUGGGUUUUAUUCUAUUGCAUUCCCUAUGUCCAAAUUGACUCAGAAGAAAGUCAAGUUUCAGUAGUUAGAUCCUUGUGAGAAGAGUUUUUAAAAGUUGAAGACUUGACUCACCUUAACUCCAGUUUUGGCUCUUUCAGAUGGUUUAGAUGGGUUCAUAGUAUAUUGUGAUGCAUUGAGAGUAGGUUUGGGUUGUGUCCUUAUGCAAUAUGGUAAGGUCAUAGCCUAUGCCUCCAGACAGCUAAACCCCAUAAGAAGAAUUAUCCAACUCAUGAUCUUGAGGUAGCAGCCGUAGUUUUGCCUUAAAGAUCUAGAGGCAUUAUAUCUACGGAGUUCAUAUAGAUGUGUUUAUAGAUCACAAAGCCUUCAGUAUGUCUUUUCUUAGAAAAAUCUCAAUCUUUGCUAGAGGAGGUGGUUAGAGCUCUUAAAGAUUACGACAUGAGUGUUAUUUAUCAUCCAGGAAAGGCCAAUAUGGUGGUCGAUGCUCUCAGUAGAAUAUCUAUAGGUAAUUUUUCUCAUAUUGAGGACAGUAAGAAGAAGUUAGCUCAGGAAGUCCAUCAGCUUGCCCGACUAGGUUUCCACCUAGUUGAUUCUUCAGAGGGUAAUAUAUGGGUUCAGAAUAGUUCAGAAUCAUCUCUAGUUUUUGAGGCAAAAGAAAAGUAAGAUAGAGAUCCCAGUCUAGUCAAGUUGAAAGAGUCAGUCAAGGAUCAAAAAGUAGAGAUUUUAUCCUAAGGGGGAGAUGGUGUUCUGCAUUAUUAGGGUCGUCUGUGUGUUCCAAGUGUAGAUGAGUUAAGAUAUCAAAUUCUUGUACAACCACAUAGUGCACAUUACUCUAUUCAUCCAGGGGUCACAAAGAUGUACUGCGACUUGCGAAAGGUCUAUUAGUGGAGUGGAUGAAGAGAGAUAUUGCAGUAUUUGUGGCUAAAUACUCUACAUGUCAGCAAGUUAAGAUUGAGUAUCAAAAUCUUAGUGGGUCCAUGCAGGUGUUCAAUAUGUCUACUUGGAAGUGGGAAGAAGUGAACAUGGACUUUGUGAUGGGUUUGCCUCGUACUCAUCGCCAGCAUAAUUCAUUGGUUCAUUUUCGACAGGAUACCCAAAUCAUCUCAUUUUCUUCCAGUCCAUACCUUUUAUUCAGCUGAGGAUUAUGCCAGACUCUAUAUUAGGGAGUUGGUCAGAUUGCACGGUGUUCUAUUAUCUAUUAUCUCAGACAGACGUACCCAGUUCACCUCUAAUUUCCAGAAAGCAUUCCAAAAGGGUCUUGGUACCCAAGUUUAUCUCAACACAGCCUUCCAUCCCCAGAUAGAUAGUCAAGAAAAAAGGACCAUUCAGACUUUAGAAGAUAUGCUAAGGGCAUGUGCAAUUGAUUUCAAGGGUAGUUGGGAUAACCACGUGCCUUUGAUUGAGUUUGCAUAUAAUAAUAGCUAUCCUUUUAGUAUUUGGAUAGCUCUAUUAAAAGCUCUUUAUGGUAGGAGAUGCAGGUCUCCAGUCAGUUGGUUCGAAUUUAGUGAGGCCUCAGUUAUACGGCUUGACUUAGUAUUUGAUGCCUUAGAAAAAGUCCAGUCAAUCAGAGAAAAACUCCAGACUACUUAGAGACGACAGAAGUCUUAUGAAGAUGUACGCAGAAAGGAUCUUGAGUUCGAGAUUAGUGAUUAUUUCUAUUUAAAGAUCUCGCCUAUGAAGGGAGUGAACCAGUUCGGCAAGAAGGGAAAGAUCAGUCCUCGAUAUUUUGGUCCCUUAAAAAUUCUCAGUCAAUUCAGCAAGGUAGCUUAUGAGCUCGAGUUGCCUUCAUAUCAGGCGCCAAUUCAUCCAGUUUUCCAUGUCUCUUUUCUCAAGAAGUGCAUAGGUGACCCGACAAUCGUAGUCCCUAUUAAGAGCAUAGAUGUUUAGAACAGCCUCUCUUAUGAAGAGAUUACAGUCGAAAUCCUAGACUAUCAGACUUGCAAACUGAGGAACAAAGAAGUCCCUCUAGUCAAAGUUCUUUUCCAAAAUUAGUCCAUUGAGGGAGCUAAUUGAAAAGCAGAAGCAGAUAUGCAAACCAAGUACCCUCACCUCUUUUCUGCUAACUCAGAUCUAGUUCAAGGUAAUAGUUCUCCUUAAGCUUUUCAGUUUCAUGUUCAGGUUUCAAUAACAAACUUGGUAUCCAUUUCAUGUUCAGAAUUCCAUUAUAAACUUGGUAUUAAAUAGCAUUGCAUAUUCAGUUAUUCAGUCAUAUAUCAGUUCAGUCAAGUAAUCACGUAUUAGAUAUGCAUUCUCAAUGUAAGAAACUUAGUUCCUCAGAACACUCAGUCAUGCAUUCAGGAAUCAGUUACUCAAGCAUCAGAUAUGCAUGUUUGGUAUGAUAUAUAUUCAGUUUAUCAUUUUUGUUAAUCAUGGAUUCAUGUUUUAGUCAUUCAUGUUCAGGAUGUGCUUUAGUCUACUAUUUCUCCUCUCUCAGUCAGUCUCAUUCGAGGAUGAAUAUUUCCAAGGAGAGAUAUUGUAAUACCCUAAACUUUAUUUAAGUCAAAUCUAGUCUCCAGGGGAGUUAGUGAUGACUUCCUAAAUGAUUAAUGUUUAAAUCAGUUAGAAUUUCCCUAAUUUUGACUUUUUAUCUGUGGGAAAUUGAAUUAGCUUUCAAACGAUACCAAUUUCUUCCAAAUUUAGGAUCAGAGUAGAAAGUUAUGGACAUUUUACUGAGAGCUAUCAGAACCACCCAGGUGCGAUGGGUAGGUUGACGGACCGUUGAGCUAAUAACGGACCAUCACCUAAACCAUUGCAGUUAAGACAGUAAGUAAAUCUUCUAGCUAAGGUGUGACGGAUAGGUUGAUGGACCGUCGCCCAAGUCGUCACUACUAAGGCAGUGAUUCCCUAUUCUGGCCAAAGUGUGACGGUCAGAACGAUGGACCGUCGAGCCAGUGAUUGACCGUUGUAUGAGCCAUCACAAAUCUCGUUCAGCAAUUUAAUAGGUGUUUGAUAAAAUGCGUAAGAGAAUAGGUGUUUGAUAAAAUGCCUAAGAGAAUAGGAAAUAUGCCUUAUGACUCAAUUGUGACCAAAAUGAUGAACCUAUGUUUUACCUUUAGGUUCAAAAUGACUUCCAUGUUAUUGUUAUGCAUUGAAAUUGUUGGAUGGGUUGUUCAUGAGAUUAUCCUAUGAAAUUAUGACAUGUUUAUAUGCUUUCCUAUUCAUGUACCAAACCAUCAUAAUCAAGUGCCUCGUGAAAAUCCCUAAUGAUUAUAUUAUGGAUUGUUGAUUAUUCUCGUGAGUCUAGGAAGUGUCAUGUCUUAUCAGUUUCAUGCUAUCAAGUCCUGGGGGUACUUGUACCUAACAAUUUAGUUGGGUGCCUAGAGCCAGUGUCAUGUUUUCAAGCUACUCUCAUUCAAUCCAUGUUCAGUAGAAUUCAGUCAGUCUCAUGACUUAGGAAAACUCAGUAAUCUCAGUCAGUUAGCAGAUCUCAGUGAUACUCCAUCAGUUAAUGGAACUCAGUAACUCAAUCAAGUCAGUUCAGUAUAACUAAUUCAGUGUCCAAUCAUAUGGGAGUAGGAUUCAGCUACGAGUGAGCCCAAGGAUGGGAACUCACCUACGAGUAGAAAGUGUGAUUCUUAGAAGCAAUCCUUGCGAUCUAGAACUAUGUAGCCAGCGUAGGUUGAGACAUCUAACCUGUUAGAUGAGGGUUGAUAAGGUGUCUUAACCUGUUAGAUAAGGGUCCCAUCAUUCUUCUUAGAGUACCUUUUAGAUGAGGGAUCACUCAUAGCUUAUCCUUACCAGUGGUGCGGUAUUGACACCCUUCUAAUUAGGGUUAUAAAUUAGAUCCCAACUCAGGUACAUUACUUUAAUUGGGGAAUAUUGGUUAGAUGACUACUUCCCACAGUUAUAGUUUCAGUCUCAGUCUCAGUAAUAGAACUCAAAUAGUUCAACAGAAUUCAGGACUAUCAGAUACAGUCAACUCAAAAUAGUAUAAAACUCAGCUAGUUCUAUCAGAACCUAGACUGUCAGAUACAGUCGCUCAGUAUCAGUUAUCAGUACUCAUGUUAUCAGUAUUCAGACUCUGUAUUCAGUAUCAUCAUGAAUUAAGUUACAGUCCCUUACUCAUACAUGUAUUCUCCCGUUCAUGUUAUACAGUCGAUUAGGAUAGUUCAUGCAUAUAAACCAUUGUAUUCAGCCUACCUCACUUGCAUACCAUUACAUUCAAUCGUACUGACACAUUUGUGCUAUGGUUUUUUAUACCAUAGGUUCAAAAGCAUGAGCUCUAAAGCAUCAGUAGCAUUCCAGUCUUACCAGUCACAGUUAGCAGUGAGUUUCCAUCCUUCGAGGACAUGAUCAUUUCUUUAUUAUUUCAUUACUUAGUUUAUUUUGGUAGUUGGAGUUAGUUAGGGACAUGUCCCAUCAACUCCUUAUUCUGAUAGUUCAGUUUUAGAGGCUUUCAAACUACAGUAUGUUCAGACAGUUUAUUUUAGUUCAUGUUUUGGUAGUGAUAUACCAUACUCUUAGAUAGUAUGUUUUAUCUAUUUUGAACCUUAUGGCAUGUUUCACUCUAUUAUUUAUGCAUUUUACAUAAUGUCAUACAGUAUAUAGGUACAGAUAUCAAUCAUGGGUUAGCUUGUGGUCCUUCAGGGUUAUAAGCAUCAUGUAUUGUUUUGGGUACCAGAUUCAGGGUGUUACACAAACUAUACCCUCAAAGAAGAUAAAAUACAGUCGUUGUCAAAUUAUAGUAACCCAAAUAGGUUGGGGUCAAACCCACAAAGAAUAAGUCAAAUCUAUCUCUUGAACUUACUAAAGUAGCCAAAAGUGUCAAAAAGUAAAUAGGGGGAAUUUGUAGAAAACAGUAAAAGUAACAAGUUGUGAAUGCUUUUGGUUGUAAAAAAUUUGAGACAAGCACUAGGAUUGUGUUUCCCUGGCUUACUAACUCAGUAGGUUUCUCAUCCUCAAUCUAACUAUCUUACCGUACACAUGCAGAAUCUGACAAUCUAGGUAUUGCCAAUCAUUUUGUGAAUGCAUUGAUAAAUCUCACCCAUUACCUUAUGAGUCUCAGGGUGUCUCCUUACUAAUCCUUGCCUUUUGAUCCGAAUUUAACUAUCACCUUAUGGGUCUUAAGUUAUUAUAUGAGGUUUGAUAGCCUCAAAUCAUUAUUAUAACCGCUUUCCUAAUCUCAAUCUCUCUUGUGAAGAUGAUAUCAAAUAAUGGCAAGUUCUUAGAGUUUUCCACAACUAAGAAAUCAAUUAAACUAAAUAAUAUCACAAUACAAGAAUAAAUAUUUAUCUAGAAGAACUUCACACUUCCCCUACUUUGUUUUUCUACCAGGGUUCAAACAACCCUAACUAUGAAAAUUAGUUGCUCAUUGUUGCAAACUAAUCCAUGGAAAUAAGAAUGAUCUCACAAUAAUGAAGGAUAAAACCCAAAGUCUCUAAUUAAUUAAUCAACUAAAAAUCAAGAACAAAGAGAUUCCAAGAUCAAAAGUCAAACUUAGAAUCAAAUAUAUGUUUGUGGAUAGUAUAAUCAUGUAAUGUAUUACAAGAGUAUCCAAUGUGUAUUAUAGUUUCUCAAAAUAACAAAUAAAACCUAACCAAAAUAAAAUAGGAAAAUAAAGUUCGUAGUUAUUGCACCUCAGGCAACGAGUCAUCUGAACUGACGAUAACUCGUUGUCAACUUUAUUGUCGCUGUUCUGUUCUUGGAGAUGAUGACUCACGGUCAAGACAUAUGAGUUUUUGGCUGGACUCAUUGUCACUCCAGUAGAUUUUCACUUCUCUAGGCAUUCCACACUAUUGUCAUCAUGAUUCUUCCCUAUGAGGCUUGGUCUAUCAUAAUGACACAUGGUCACCUAUCAUUUAACUAGGGCUUCAACUUAUACAUCUAUAGGAUUUUGGCAAAUCUGCUUCGAAAGACUCAUGAAAUGAAUCGUGGUCACUCUUAAUGGUUUAUCGUCAGCCUCAAAAUCACUCUUAGAAUUAGCAACCUUCACUGUUAUCACCACGACUUAUAAUAUGAGUUGUAUAGUAACCUAAGAACUCAUAGCCCAGUCAGAAUGUUUGAUUUUCAAACAUUUUCUUGUAUUUUUUAUUCAAUUCACUUCCAAUCUAUUUUCCCUGCAACAUACACAGAAACACACAUCAUAUCUAAUAAAAAUGCCUAAGUAUUUACAUAUUUUCCUAGUUUUAAGCAUCAAAAAUGCAAUGAAACCAUGGAACAUCAAUGAUCUAAGAAGAGGAUAUUAAGAAGUUGGAGUUAGAUUAGAGCUUAUCUUGUUCAUUAAGGCACAUAGUGAGAGAACCUUUUGAAAGAGGUGGUUGACUAAAGUAAAAACCUAUCUCAUACAAGGUUUGAUAUAAUGGAAAAUAUAUGUUCCUUGGUCAUUUAAGGAGAGAUAAGCUUUAAUUUUGUAUCUUUUACACUUGUUGAUAUGAUGAAACUUUCUACACAAAGGCACCACAAAACUUACAAGCUUUAAUAGUACAUUAAGGAUAGAGAGGGGACCAAGAAAGUUAUUGUUGGAUUUAUAAUGGGAAAGUAUCAAUAUGAAGCACAAUGUAAUGUAAUUCCCAUGAUAUUAUAUCAUAUGUUUCUUGGUAGGACAUAGAAAGAUAAUAGGUUAGUUUAAUAUCGAGGGAUGUCCAAUAAACAUAUUUGUAUUUGGAGGACAAAAUCUCAUUUUUAAGCCUUUGUCACUUGAGUAAAUAAGUUGGUAUUAUGAGAUCAUGAAAGGGUUUUUAGAAGUAUUGAAGAAGGAAGAGGUUGAAAAGAGGGAAAGGGAAUCAUCUCUUUUGCAAAGAAAGAAAGACUUGUCUCAAAGAAGAGAGUUGACUAAGAGUGUGUUCUAAGGAAUAGUUUGAAAGAAGUGGACAAGGAACACUUAAUUAUAGGUCUUGUCAACACCAAUCCCUUGUUACCACUAACCAAGAUUCUAGAAUUCUACUUAGUAUCUCUCCUUCUCUUGUGCAGGUUUGUGAAUAAAUACUUCUAAAGGGGUAUCCAAGGAGUAUUCCUUACGAACACAUGCUUGAAGACCUAAUUGAGUUCUUAUCUAAGAAUUCCAACUUGAGAAAAAGUGAUGAGGAGUUGAAUCAAUGGAUUAUAAUUGACGAACUCUCAUGUAAUGAUAACAUCCCAAAAGAGUAAAUAUGCUCCCAUGUCAAAGACUAAGGUCAAUACCAUAUUUCUAUUUAGCUACAAGGUAACAAUACAAACUCUUGCACUUAUUUAAACUUGAAAAUUCAUGAUGUGACUAGAAACCAAAGAGUAAAUAGUAGCUUAUCUAAUUUUGAAAAUAAUGAGUCUUCCUUUUGUGAUACUCUUGCUCUAUGUUACUUGAUGAUCAAUUUCUUAUUGUAAGCUUGUAAAUAUGUGUUGAUCAUAAAGAUAACCUAAUUGACUCUUCUAAUAAGCUCAAUUUGUGUCCACCUAGUGUUGGCACUUAUAGCUCGAAUAAGGUUCUAUUUCCAUAUGCUAAGAGUAUUCACCAACUAGUUGACCCUUGUAAAAAUCAAGGUACGUCUAUGUUGGCAUGUGAAUAAACUACUUCUAGUGACGAUGUGCACAUUGAUCAAGUUAUAUGUGUUAAUUCUCUAAGUGAGGACUUGUAUGAUGCUCUUAAUGAACCUCAACUUAGUAAUGUCAAAGAUAUAGUUGAUAUUGCAGAUUGUCAUGUAGUAUUCUUACUUAAAGGUGGUAAUUCCUUAGAUGUUGAAUCCCUUCCUUGUUCUUAUCACGAUAAUCUUGAGGCAGAAUAUGAUCUCAAGGAUAAGCCUUUAUUUGGUGAUGACAUGAGUAAGGUAAAAUGCAUUGGCCAACUUACUUGUGAAUCUAAUCUACUACUUGAGCAUAUUUUUGGUGUGCUUUACGAGCCUCAAUUUAGUAAUAAUGUUGAUAGAGUUAAUCAUCUGGUUAGAAAAAAUUCUUUAAGCAUUUUAUAUGAUGAAGAUCCUAUUACUAGUUUUUCUCAUAGAUAUCAUAUAGAUGAAAAUAUUUUGAUUAAUGACAUGUAUUUUUUUAGAGUGAACUUGUGUGCUUUAAUUCCCUAUAUUUGGUUGUUGAUCCUCUCUCAAAGAAAAAUUUCUUAAUUGAAAAUAGUGAAAUCACUUAAAGUUUGGCACCUAGUGAUGUGUCUUUUGAUAUGCUUAAAAAGAAGGAUAGUAAUCUUAAAAUUCAUAUAUUAUCCUAUUUCUUAAAGUCCAUUAAGAAUAUAGGAUUAAGUGAAGAUUGUGCUAACUAUCCAAUUGUUGAUCAUGAUCUUUCACUUUUGAAAAAGAAUGAUCAUUUGGUAAAGAUAGAUUUGGUUUUCUUGAAUAUUUAAGAAAGCCAAUUAGUGAUUGUUCUUUCGUUGAUGCCUUUAAAUGUGAUCCUUUAUAUGACAUCUCACCUUUGUUAGACAAAGAGGACCAUGAGUUACUUAAUUCUUGUGAUGACUUAAGUUAUGAUCUCCUUCAUGCUAGUGGUGGUUUGUGUCAAAUUGGGGAUCCUUCAAUUAAGCAAGAAGGUGUUAAUUGCUUAUAAAUUGCUUCUUUUUCUUCUUUUUUUUCUUCUUCUUUUUCUUCUUCUUUGUGUGAUCCCAUUAUUGAAUAUACUCAUGUUGAUGAUCUUAAAUCUAAUAGUAAGUACAUGCAUCAAGACACCUUAGUUGAAUUUAUUUUAUAUGACACAUUUCUUUACUCUCUAUUCUUAUGAUAUUGUACAUUAUUAUGUAGGGAGUAUGUCUUUUUAUGAUAAUGUCACCCAAGGGAAAAUGUAUAUAACAUUGGUCCAUGUUUAUGGAUAAUUCAUCCAUUUGACCUUGGUGCUUGUUUUGAGUUUGGUGAUGUUUAUACACCCAACUUGGUGCUUAGUCAAGACAACAAGUAAAAUUUAAUUGAGGUUGUACUCUUUCUUAAGGAUUUAUAAUCCGUGAUGGACCAAAGGUUUAUAAGGUAAAGAUCUCCAACAAAGAGGAGUAUUCUUUAAAGAAGGGGAGUAAUGAUAUUUUCCAAGAGAAUUCAUUAUUAUGUGUUCCCAUUCUUGACCAAGGAUUUAUGACUUGUAGGUCAAAGAGUGAUUUUAUAAUGCCCUGAGAUCUCAUCCCGAGACGUCACACGGCGCUUAUGACCCCGAAGGACCACAAGCUAACUGAUGAUAGGCGAAAUUACGCGCCUAUAUCAAUAUAUUUUGCCCAUAUUUUAGCCUAGUUUCGAGAACUAAUUAUCUAUUUCGUACACUUUUAGUCCUUUUUCCUGUAAAUGAGCUAACAAAUGUGAUUAGGAAAGUUUCAGGUAUAAAUGAUGCAAAAUACAGCAAUUUAUGGCUUACUUGACGCAAAAGAAAGCUCACAAACGAGAUGGAAAGGAGCUGGACGCAUAAAGGACUAAAUCUGCUGCAUGGAAAAUCUGUCCCGGGCUAAAACAGCAUUUCUGAAGACUUUGGGACUUACAGACACAAAGCUGGAUUUUUGCCAUAAUACAUUAACCUAGUGCAAUUAGGUUAUGUGUUUCAUCAUUCUAUUUGGAUUAUAAUUUUGUAACCUUACCCUAGUACAAUUGGGUCAAGGAUUUCAUUAGUAUAUUAGGAUUUGGUUAUUUAUUUUAUUAGUUUAGUAGGAGUAGGAUAGGAGUAUUAUAAAUACCCUAUCAUGUUAGAGAUUUUCAAGAAGGGAGACAUUCUGACAAUUCAUUCAUCUCCUUACAAUUAAGACAUCUUCCUACAACCCAUUCUCAAUUCUUCAUUCUUCUACUCUUAAAUUCCACAACAAGAGAAUUGUUACUUGCUACGGAAUCACUAAAACCACACGCCAAACACCUACUAUUCACGCCAUCCACCAUGCAAAACGUGAUAUCCUUCGCAUUCAUGGGUAACUAAAUCUCUUAGUUGGGGUUAUGGAAGCCGAAUGAGUUACUAUCUAUAGCUAUGAGUUUGUGAGUUCAAGACAAGUAUAUUGCUUAUAUCAUUAUUCUCUUCAUCUUAAAUCUACAUUCUUUGCGGUUCAAACACAAGAACACGCCAUUCUAACAUCUAACCUGUUCGAGAGAAAGGUUAUUUGUCUAGAAAAGAAGACGCAUAGACCAACGCCAGUCUAACAUCUGACUUGUUCGAGAGAAAAGUUAUUUGUCUGGAAAAGAGAUAAUGUCAAGGUAGUAGGACACCCUUUCCUAUUAAAAAGCUAGUGCCGUACCUGGACUAACUUCUUGGAGAAUUCGUACCGUUAGUCACGCUUUAAGCUCGAGAGAGUUAAAGUGAAAUAGUCCUUGUUUAGGUCGAGAGACGCUUGGAUUUACCAUCGACUACAAUUCUCUAUAAGCAAUUACAUGUCAAGACUCUACACACUCAUAGCCAAUAGAGACGUAUACCUCAGAAGGUGGACAUAACCCCAACGCCUCAAUUCUCAUUGUUUACAACACACGUGACAAUCUCUCUUUAUUUUGCUAUUUUCAGUUCUUACAUUCUUGUUUUGGUUACAUACUACAAUCCCCCCUUUCCUACGAGACUUGCACUAAAAGUCUAGUAAUUUUUCUUGCUUGUUGGCCAAGCUAUUCUCUGUGGGAUCGAUACCCAACCCAGGUUGGGUUCUAUAUUUGCUAACGACCGCUUUACACUCCCACGAGAGCUGUAGAUUGAGCGUUAUCAAAAAUUGGCGCCGUUGCCGGGGAAUACGAGUGUCAAUCAAGUUCGUGAAAAUUACUAGACCCUUUGGUCAAAGAUUCUCGUACUUUUACGUUUAGUUUUUGUUUUUGUUUAUUGCAGGUUUUUCUUUUAGUGCAUGCCCCAUACUAGAAGUUCUGGUCAACCGUUAUUACCAAUCAAUCCGGAACCACAACGAAUCAGAAGAAUGGAAGCACAAGCGGAAAUCGACAGGAUGGCUGCUCAACAUGAGCAAGCAAGAUUAGCUGCUCUUGCCGCUGCUCAAGUCCAACAACAAAACAUUGAUAAUCCUGGACGAGCAACAAAUCCUGACGAUGAAGAUUUAGGAGAUGACGAGUUGAUCAACCCAAGGCAUGGCGCUGAAAUGGCAACACCUACCAACAGACGAGGUCGACAAGCUCGGUACAGAUAUGAUCGCCAACCUUUGCAACCAGCUUUCGACGAUGAUGAUGAUGAUCUUGAUGGUGCCGGAGCCACUGGAGCUAUAAUUCCACCACCAUUAGCGCCCGGAGCCAAGUUCAACAUCACUAGCACCAUGAUUCAGUUAUUGCAACUCAAGGGAUUAUUUGGUGGACUAGCAGGCGAUGAUCCGAAUAUGCAUCUCAUCAACUUUAUUUCUACAUGCAAGUCUUUUGACAAUCCUGGAGUUGGUCAGAAUGCUAUUCGAUUACGUCUAUUUCCAUUGUCUCUGUCUGGGGAGGCAACAUUAUGGUUGAAUGGGCUGACUCCUGAUUCUAUUACAAAUUGGAGGCAAUUGAGAGACGCUUUCCUAGAAAGAUUCUUUCCGCCAUCCAAGAGGGCUCAAUUGAGAGAUGAAAUCAGCAACUUUCGUCAGCUUCCCUCUGAAGCUCUUCACGAAACAUGGGAGAGGUUCAAGACAAAGCUAGCGAGAUGCCCAAACCAUCACAUGACUAAUGUUCACCUCAUGGAGAUCUUAUAUAGAGCCUUGAAUUCAGUAACUAAACCAGUGGUGGACAACGCAGCUGGAGGUUCUUUUAUGGACCUCACCUUUGGUCAAGCAAGCAACAUGCUAGAUCGUAUGACGAAACAAAGUAGAGCUUGGCAUACCAGGGAUUCUGAGGUAGCAAGCCCCACUUUAUCUAUUGGCAUGUCUGCAGAUCAAAGAAGGAGAGAAGAAGAACGUGAUCAAGAUAUGGCGCACAUGAAAACCCAAAUGGAUCUUCUUACAAAGCAUCUAUUAGGGAAGACUGAAAAAGUGAAAUCUAUUGCGUCAAAAGGAAGAGACGAAUCUGAUUCAGAAGAGGAGGCCAACUACUUGAACAAUCAGGGGGGUUUCCGUGGGAAUGCCCAAGGAAACCAAGGUCGGAACUAUUAUGACAAAUCUGGAGGUAAAGACCAAGGUAGUUGGAAGAAAAAUAAUGAAAACAGUGGUUUGUACGUUCCCCCUGGUAGACGUGAUACCACCACAUCUAAUUCUAUGGAAGACAUGAUGGCUAAGUUAUUGAAAGGAGUGGAAGCGACGAAUGCGGGAGUUAAGGAGGUGAUUGACGAUUUGGCCUCCAUGAAGCAAUUAGUUGAUUCUCAUUCCACUUCUAUCAAGCAACUAGAGCAGCAAUUCAGUCAACUUUCAGCAACACUCAACCAAAGAAAAGCCGGCACCUUGCCUAGCGAUACGGUGCAAAAUCCAAGGACUGAUGGGUCAUGCAUGGCCAUCACUACGAGGAGUGGUAAGGUGCUGGAAACUUCAGCAGAAGGCAAGCAAAUAGUUGACAGAACAGCAGACACAACCGCCACACCUAGUGACGCCACUAGGGAAGACGCCGCAAUAUCCACUUCCAACGUCAAGGACGUGUUGCCUAGUGACGUGCAGCCUGAAAAAAGUAAUAAACGGAAGCAAGAGGAGAAGAAAGCCAUGGAAAGAACACUUCCAUACCCACCACCACCUUUUCCACAAAGACUGAAGAAGGCGGCCGAUGACACUAAGUUCAGCAAGUUCAUGACCAUCUUGAAGCAGCUGACUAUUAAUGUCCCAUUGGUAGAGGCACUUGAACAAAUGCCUGGGUAUGCGAAGUUUAUGAAAGAUCUUUUGACUAAGAAGAGGGCAGCAAGCUAUGAGCUGAAAGAAGAUGUGCAUCAUUGUAGUGCAAUAGCUACCCGAUCCAUAGUUCAGAAGAAGGCCGACCCCGGAGCUUUCACUAUUCCUUGCACCGUCGGAUCUUUGGACUUUGCUAAAGCAUUAUGUGACUUAGGAGCCAGCAUCAACUUGAUGCCAUUAUCAAUCUACAAGAAGUUGGGGUUGGGAGAUCCUACACCAACUAAUAUGAAGCUUGUUAUGGCGGAUAGGUCGGUAAAACGACCGGUUGGUAUUCUAUGCGAUGUCUUGGUGAAGGUAUCUUCAUUCAUAUUUCCAGCAGACUUUGUCAUCUUGGAUUGCGAAGCAGAUUCAGAGGUUCCCAUAAUCUUGGGACGCCCUUUCCUUGCUACGGGAAGUGUGCUCAUAGAUUUGAGAGCUAAUGAACUUUCAUUCCGAAUAAAUGAUGAAGUGGUGCGCUUUGAUGUUUGCAAAUCAAUGAAGCAACCCAAAGAUCUAAGUGUAUUUUCUGUGACUGAUGUUGUCGUUGAUGACGAGGAUGAGUUACUUGCUGAAGAACAAAUUCUUGAUGAUCCUUUGGAGGUUUUGCUCAUGGAAGAAGAUGAUGAUGAUGCUGAAAUUUCUGAAGAUGAUAUUUGUGCUCUAUCGGGAUUAGGAGCAUAUCGCUAUCCUCCUAAGAAGCUGGAUCUUGAUCUCAAGAAUCGACCCACACCACCAGCUAAGCCAUCUAUUGAAGAACCACCCACAUUAGAAUUAAAGGAGCUGCCAAGCCAUUUGAAGUAUGCAUUCUUAGGAAGCGGAAACACUCUUCCAGUCAUAGUGGCAGCCGAUUUAGGUGAGCAACAAGUUGCAGCUCUUAUUGCAAUUUUACGCAAGUAUAUUAGAGCUAUUGGAUGGACCAUUGCGGAUAUCCUUGGUAUUCCACCUGGAAUUUGCACUCAUAAAAUUCAGCUCCAAGAAAAGUGCACACCCACCAUCGAACACCAAAGACGUCUAAACCCACCAAUGCAAGAGGUGGUGAAGAAGGAGAUUAUCAAGUGGUUAGACGCAGGAGUUGUGUAUCCUAUUUCUGAUAGUACAUGGGUAAGCCCAGUACAAUGUGUUCCCAAGAAAGGAGGUAUGACGGUGGUUGCGAAUGCAAAGAAUGAGCUUAUUCCACUCAGGCCCGUCACUGGAUGGAGAGUAUGCAUGGACUACCGCAAGCUGAAUUCUUGGACUCUCAAGGAUCACUUCCCCAUGCCAUUUAUGGACCAAAUGCUAGAUCGAUUAGCGGGAAAAGGAUGGUUUUGCUUUCUUGAUGGUUAUUCAGGUUAUAAUCAGAUUUUUAUUGCACCAGAAGACCAAGAGAAGACAACGUUUACAUGCCCAUAUGGUACGUUUGCCUUCAAACGUAUGCCAUUCGGGUUAUGUAAUGCACCAGCCACCUUUCAGCGAUGUAUGAUGUCUAUUUUCUCUGAUAUGGUAGAAGACACUUUGGAGGUAUUUAUGGACGACUUUUCAGUUGUUGGGGAGUCUUUCGAAGCAUGUUUGGUGAAUUUAAGCAUGGCAUUACAAAGAUGUGUAGAGUUCAACCUUGUGCUGAAUUGGGAGAAGUGCCACUUCAUGGUAAAAGAAGGAAUUGUUCUUGGGCACAAGAUCUCCGAAAAAGGAAUAGAGGUUGAUCGCGCCAAAAUAGAGGUAAUUGAGAAGCUACCACCUCCAAUUUCGGUGAAGGGAGUUCGUAGUUUUCUUGGCCAUGCUGGGUUUUAUCGUAGAUUCAUCAAAGACUUCUCCAAAAUUUCUAGUCCAUUAUGCAAGCUAUUGGAGAAAGAUGCGAAGUUUGACUUUAAUGAUGAUUGCUUAAAGGCAUUUGAAUGCCUUAAAGAAAAACUCGUUGAAGCCCCUAUCAUGGUAACACCAGAUUGGACGCUCCCGUUCGAAGUCAUGUGUGAUGCUAGUGGUGUAGCCGUUGGUGCUGUUCUUGGACAGAGAAAGGAGAAAUUAUUUCAUCCUAUCUACUAUGCGAGUAAGGUCCUCAAUGAAGCCCAAAGGAACUACACCGUCACUGAACAAGAGCUAUUAGCGGUUGUGUAUGCGUUUGAGAAGUUCCGCGCCUACCUAUUAGGUACUAAAGUGAUCGUUCAUACAGACCAUGCAGCUCUUAGGUAUCUAAUGACAAAGAAGGAUGCAAAACCAAGGCUGAUUCGAUGGGUGUUGCUGCUGCAAGAGUUUGAUUUCGAAGUCAAAGAUAGAAGAGGUUGCGAGAACCAAGUGGCUGAUCACCUAUCUAGACUUGAGAAUGAGUAUGUGGCGCAAUCAGAAAAUCAGAUUGGCGAUGCAUUCCCUGACGAGGAGAUAUUAGCGACAACAAUAGAAGACUUACCAUGGUAUGCCGACUUUGCGAAUUUCGUGGUGAGUAAUGUGUUACCUACAAAUUUAUCUUACCACCAGAGGAGGAAGUUUAUGCAUGACGUUCAGCACUAUUAUUGGGAUGAGCCUUAUUUGUUUCGAAGAUGUGCGGAUGGUAUCAUUCGACGAUGUAUAUCCCAUGACGAAGUGCCCACUAUAUUAGAAGCAUGCCACACUUCGCAAGUUGGAGGACAUCAUGCGGGUAAUCGAACAGCAAGAAAAGUCUUGCAAAGUGGUUAUUAUUGGCCUACAAUAUUCAGAGAUGCACACGACUAUGUGAGAAGGUGUGACCAAUGCCAACGUCAAGGUGUUAUUUCAAAACACCAUGAAAUGCCCAUGUCCACAAUCCUGGAGGUAGAACUCUUUGAUGUAUGGGGUAUUGAUUUCAUGGGACCAUUCGUAAAUUCGUUUGGAAUGAAGUACAUCUUGGUUGCUGUGGAUUAUGUGUCGAAAUGGGUUGAAGCUGUAGCAUUGGCCGAUAAUGAAGGAAAGCGUGUUGUAGCGUUUUUAAAGAAGAAUAUCUUCUCUCGCUUUGGGGUACCUCGUACUAUCAUAAGUGAUGGAGGAUCUCACUUCUGCAACAAGCUAUUCAAAUCUGUAUUGGCCAAGUAUGGAGUCAAGCAACACAAGGUAGCUACGCCUUAUCAUCCCCAAACUAGUGGACAAGUAGAGGUUUCCAAUCGGGAGAUCAAGCAAAUCCUUGCCAAGACGGUCAAUGCGAAUCGGAAGGAUUGGUCUCGGAAGCUAGAUGAUGCACUAUGGGCGUAUAGGACUGCAUUCAAGACACCCAUUGGCAUGUCACCUUAUCAGCUAGUUUAUGGGAAGGCUUGUCAUCUACCCAUCGAGCUUGAAUACAAGGCAUUAUGGGCAUUGAAGCACUUGAAUCUGAAUUGGGAUGAUGUGAAGAACCUGAGGUUGGAGCAGCUGAACGAGCUAGAUGAAUUCCGUCUCCAUGCUUAUGAAAGAUCAGAUUUAUACAAGGAGCGGAUGAAGAAGUAUCACGAUCAGCGGAUUGUUCGACGACACUUCCAAAAAGGUGACAUGGUGCUACUCUUUAACUCCAGAUUCAAGCUCUUCCCAGGUAAGUUAAAAUCAAAGUGGUCUGGUCCAUUUAAAGUCACCCACGUCUACUCGUUUGGAGUAGUCGAAUUGGAAAAUAAUGAGGGUGUUAUCUUCAAGGUGAAUGGCCAACGUGUUAAGCCAUAUAUCGGUCCUCUUGACUCGAUAAAUGACAUGGCCAUCACUUAUCUCGACGAAGUCUAAGUACUCGAGAUUACUACGUCGAGCCACGACAAUAAAUAAGGCGCUAGAUGGGAGGCAACCCUUCGUUUUAUUGUUUUAUCGUUUUGUCGUUUUAGUAUUUUUUCUUUUUGAUAAAUGAAAAUCCAAAAAUAAGAGUCGUGCCACGACCAAAACUAAGGCGCUUGGUGGGAGGCAACCCAUCGUACUAAUCGUUUUCAUUUGUUUGAGCAAAUAUAGGUGUAAGAAGUAUGCAACGAGGAGAUUGAUUUCAAUUGACGAUUUGGUCGCGUUGUAUGGUAAAGGCGGUACAAUGGCACCGAAAGCAAGGCAAGGCAAGGAGAAGGCUACCACAACCCGCAAGGACAAAAAGAGAAGCCGAAAAGACCAAGGCGAAUCAUCUUCCGCACACCUACCACGCAGAAUGUUCGGAAUCAAAUGGGUUCUUGAGGAAGAAGCCAAGGCAUGGUACAGCAGCAACAAAGAAAAGAAAUAUGUGCACGUCGACUUAAUCAAUAAGGAGACCUUAGCAAAGAAGGAGCCGCAAAUGUUGGCUAAGAUUAUGGCUUUGAAGCUGGAUUUCAUCUUCCGUGACAUGGGAGAGUGCAAUCUUGACUUGACAAGAGAGUUUUAUGCCAACUGGUCGCCAAACACAACAGGCAACGAAGUCAAAAUUCGGGGCCAAGUGUUACAGCUUACAGCGGAUUGGAUCAACUCGUUUCUAGGCCUACCUUCGGUCGACACUGCACCAUACAAAGAGCUGUACAGCAGACCUCCUUACAGAGCUAUAAGACACACGCUUUGUGGAAGCAGAUCGAUGGCGAGAUGGGGCAGACAUAAGGAAACAGGCCGUCACAACACAUUCCCCUAUGCUCCACUAAAUAGGGAAGCAAGAAUCUGGAUGCGCAUUGUCAACUCAUGCCUCAUUCCUGGGACGCAAUACACAAAGAUAUCGAGAGAUAGAGUGUGCCUGGUUUAUUCAUUAAUGACGAAUGUCCCUAUCAACUUUGGGGCAAUCAUUCGAUCCACCAUGAGGAAAGCCAGACUGAUGUGAAUGUGAAUGGUCCUAUUUCACAUUCGGCAAUUUGUUGACAGCAAUGUUGCGGAAGGAGGAUAUAGAGGAGGAACCAGCUGACCACAAACUCCCACAUACCCCAAAGAAGGUUGACCUCACCAAGGUCAAAGAUGCUGAAACAACGCAUGGAGUCAACCUUACCACUGCGGAGAGACAUGCUCGUGACGAGAGUUUCUUCCGUCAUCUCUAUGGCAUGACGAGAUUCACUAUGAUGAGUGGUGGACGUAUUCCAACUGCUGAAGAGCUCCAACAGCUGGACCACGACUACCCAAUGAACAGACAUGCCCGGGAGAUGUGUGGAGUGGGAGUAUAUUUCGAGGAACCUCUUGAUGAUGACGUGCCAACUGAUGAUGAUAGACGCUUGCCUGAUUCUGAUGCUGAGGAGAACUCUGACGAUGACUCUUACGAUGACUCGAACGAAGGGGGUAUGACAUUGAGGAAGAGUCCGACUAAUCAGGUUCUUCGACUUUAUUUUCCACUGAGGGCAGUGUCUAGUCUAAGUGUGGGGUGUCGGCAGAAUCUGCAUGCUAUAUUUGUAUGUUUGCUUGUUUAUUUUGUUUUAUUUAUUUUGUUUUGAGUCCGAUUUUUUUUUGUGAUUUUUUUCGUGUGACGUUUUUUUUUUAGUUUUUAGUAGUUAAAAUUUUUCUAGCCUCGCAUGAAAUUAUUUUAAUAGGCAGCAUGAGAUUAUAACAAUAGUAUGUAUUACAAUUGUGACUAUUGAGACAUUUAGGCUCUAGUUGUGACUCAUUAUGUGAUAGUGUGUGAUUCAAUUCCUUCACUUGUUGGGUUGAGAGUCUAUAUUGCUACCAAUCAAGUCGACCAUGUGCCUUGUGUGUGUGAGAUAAUAGUAUAUUCUAUGUAUGUGGCUGAUGCUAGAACUUGCCUGGUAUGUAUGCAAAGCGAAAAUAAGGAGUGUAAGUUUAGGAUAUGAUUUAGGCAUUUCUUUGGCAACCUAUAUUUGUUUACCUUCAGUUUUACCUACCCAUGGACAUCAUCCUAGUUAAACCCUUUUGAGCCUUUAGCCUAUUUCUUUGACAACCUUGUAUGUAAGCCUAAUUCAUUUUUUUUUCAAGACCGUAAUUUGAUCCAAAUUCCUAAGUGCUUUAAAGUGAAAAAGUCAUGUGACAACAUAAGAGGAAAUUGGUUGAGUAUGAUGCUUUAAAUUGUAAUGGUGCUUGAAUAUGUUAUGAAAAAGAAAGUGCUAUCAUAAGAGGUAUGUUGUGAGAAGAAAAAGGAAAAGAAAGCUGAAAAGUGAGUUGUGCUUUAAAAUUGAAAAACAAAAGAGGAGAACAAGGGUGCUACAAAAAAGUGUCAAUAAUACAAUGUGAUGUAUUAAAGUGCUUAGGAACUUAGUCACUAUUUCUGGCCAAAAUAGUUGAUCCUACCCGUCCCUUAGCCUACAUUACAACCAUCAAAAGACCUACUUGAUCCUAACCUUAACAUUCCGACAUUUAGUGGAGUACUACAUUAAGGGCAAGCCUAUGGUCAUUAGCUGCUACAUAUGAAUUCUUUGUGAGAGUGAGCGCAAGGAUACUUUGCUGCCCAUGUUUGAAAAAUAUGCUAUACUUGUGAGUGAUUAUGGGUACUAUAUUGUGAGACACACAUGGUUGAUGAGUUUUGGAUAGUUGUAUAUGAUUCUAUGUACCUUAAACGUUUGCAUGCGAGUUGAUCACCAUCACGAGUCUAUGCUUGAGGUUAAAUUGUUUCUACUUAUAAUCGGAAAGCUACUCUUCGUUGAUAAUUGUUGUGCUUGUCUUGAAGAAUGUUUUGUGUUGUUUCUGUAAAAACCUUAAGUCAAUGCUUAGAAGGACAUGAUAUGUUGUUCGAGGACGAACAAAGCUCUAAGUGUGGGGUGUUGAUGAUAGGCGAAAUUACGCGCCUAUAUCAAUAUAUUUUGCCCAUAUUUUAGCCUAGUUUCGAGAACUAAUUAUCUAUUUCGUACACUUUUAGUCCUUUUUCCUGUAAAUGAGCUAACAAAUGUGAUUAGGAAAGUUUCAGGUAUAAAUGAUGCAAAAUACAGCAAUUUAUGGCUUACUUGACGCAAAAGAAAGCUCACAAACGAGAUGGAAAGGAGCUGGACGCAUAAAGGACUAAAUCUGCUGCAUGGAAAAUCUGUCCCGGGCUAAAACAGCAUUUCUGAAGACUUUGGGACUUACAGACACAAAGCUGGAUUUUUGCCAUAAUACAUUAACCUAGUGCAAUUAGGUUAUGUGUUUCAUCAUUCUAUUUGGAUUAUAAUUUUGUAACCUUACCCUAGUACAAUUGGGUCAAGGAUUUCAUUAGUAUAUUAGGAUUUGGUUAUUUAUUUUAUUAGUUUAGUAGGAGUAGGAUAGGAGUAUUAUAAAUACCCUAUCAUGUUAGAGAUUUUCAAGAAGGGAGACAUUCUGACAAUUCAUUCAUCUCCUUACAAUUAAGACAUCUUCCUACAACCCAUUCUCAAUUCUUCAUUCUUCUACUCUUAAAUUCCACAACAAGAGAAUUGUUACUUGCUACGGAAUCACUAAAACCACACGCCAAACACCUACUAUUCACGCCAUCCACCAUGCAAAACGUGAUAUCCUUCGCAUUCAUGGGUAACUAAAUCUCUUAGUUGGGGUUAUGGAAGCCGAAUGAGUUACUAUCUAUAGCUAUGAGUUUGUGAGUUCAAGACAAGUAUAUUGCUUAUAUCAUUAUUCUCUUCAUCUUAAAUCUACAUUCUUUGCGGUUCAAACACAAGAACACGCCAUUCUAACAUCUAACCUGUUCGAGAGAAAGGUUAUUUGUCUAGAAAAGAAGACGCAUAGACCAACGCCAGUCUAACAUCUGACUUGUUCGAGAGAAAAGUUAUUUGUCUGGAAAAGAGAUAAUGUCAAGGUAGUAGGACACCCUUUCCUAUUAAAAAGCUAGUGCCGUACCUGGACUAACUUCUUGGAGAAUUCGUACCGUUAGUCACGCUUUAAGCUCGAGAGAGUUAAAGUGAAAUAGUCCUUGUUUAGGUCGAGAGACGCUUGGAUUUACCAUCGACUACAAUUCUCUAUAAGCAAUUACAUGUCAAGACUCUACACACUCAUAGCCAAUAGAGACGUAUACCUCAGAAGGUGGACAUAACCCCAACGCCUCAAUUCUCAUUGUUUACAACACACGUGACAAUCUCUCUUUAUUUUGCUAUUUUCAGUUCUUACAUUCUUGUUUUGGUUACAUACUACAAUCCCCCCUUUCCUACGAGACUUGCACUAAAAGUCUAGUAAUUUCUCUUGCUUGUUGGCCAAGCUAUUCUCUGUGGGAUCGAUACCCAACCCAGGUUGGGUUCUAUAUUUGCUAACGACCGCUUUACACUCCCACGAGAGCUGUAGAUUGAGCGUUAUCACUAACCAUUUACUAAUAUUUGUACCUGUACACUGCACAAUGUCUAAAAUAAAUGUAGAAACUAGCCAUAAGGUUCAACACAUCCAUGAAUACUCAUAAUAUAGAAAACUGAAUACUAAUACAUCCGUCUGAAAAGCCUCUAAACUAUCUAAACUGUGGAGUUGAUGGGACAUGUCCCCAACUAACUCCGUCAACUGAAAAUAAAUAAAGUAUUAAGCAAUAAUAGUACACUAAAAUUCAUCCUCGAAGGAAGAGGACUCACUACUACUGCUGCUGACUGGGACUGAACUGCUGAGGAAAAACUGGAUCAUGUGCCUCUGAACCUAUGGUGUCAAAUAAAACACCAUAGCGCAAAUGUGUAAGUACAAAAAUGUACCGAGUAUGUAGAUGGGGUAGGCUAAUACAAGGGCUCAUGUAUGCACAAUAUCUAAACAUAAUAAUCAUAAAGAUGCCGCAUGAGAACGCAUACAUGAAUGCAUAGAACAGAACACAAUUAUCGCAACUCUAGAUACUGAAACUCGCAUACCAUUUUACUGCAGACUGAACUCACUAAUGACACUAAGAUACUGAAUUAUUGACUCAUAUGAUACUAAUAACUGAGGAUCUAGAUGUGCUUACAUCAAGGACUGAACUCUAAGCUUACUGCUUUUGACUGACAGAAUUAGAGAUCAACUUUGCUACAGAUUAUUCUGGAAGCGAUUAUCAAUGAUAAGAAGUAUGACUAUAUCUGAAUCUGAUGAUAAGAAUAUUCAAAAGGAAUCUGAUAUUGUGAUCAAGCUUGUCUGGCGGUAUAUAUCUUAAUAUCAUAUCAAUCAAUUGUGUAUAUGACCAAACCUAUCUGCCGGGAUGGUCCAUGAAUCAAUGAAACUAUCUGAGUUCCUCAUAAAGAUAGAUGACUGUAUCUUACAGUCUUGAUUUUUGAAGACUGAUUCUGAAACUAAGACUGAAUCUGAAACUAAAACUAUAGGAAGUAGUCACUUAAUCGGCAUGCCUUGACCUACCACAGGUGGGGUCCAACCUGUGCCCCAGUUGGAAGGGUGUCAUUACCGCGCCACUGGUAAAAACAACUCUAUGUGACCCUCAUCUAGCUGGUCCUCAAACGAUAAUGGUGGAGCCUUCAUCUAGCAGGUCAAGCCACCUCAUCUACCCUUAUCUAGCAGGUAUGAUAUCUCUCAUCUACCCUCAACUAGUAGGUGUGAUGUCUCAACCUACAUUGUCUAAGUAGUUCUGGAGCACAAGGAUUACUUCUAAGAAUCAUACCCUCUACUAGUAGGUGAGAUCCCAUCCUUGAGCUCACUCGGUGCUAGUUUCUAGUCCCAAUUGAAAGACUCAGAACUGAAUUCUCAACUUAACACUGGCUGAACUAAAUCUGACACUGAUCAUAUUACUCAAAAGGUCUGACUAAGUUAUGCUGAGAUCACUUGUUUUUGUAUCUGACAGAAAAGAUAUCGAAUCAUGGUAUUUGACUGACGAUACAGAGCUUGAAUGGAUUACUCGAAUCGCUUCAGAGAUUAGGAUUGAAUCACUUGAAUACUAUUAAAACUAAGCUAAUUACAGGUCUGAGACUAGGUUACUAGCAAUAUAGAGAUUACAGAGAUAACUGAGAUUACCGAGCUUUAUUAAGCUUCGCACUUGUCUGAGGAAAUAGAGUUUUAUAGUUCACUGAGUUCUGAGAAUCAUGGCUCAAUUGGAAUUAUUGAGAAACUGACAUGGGCUCUAGAAAAUAGCUCUAUUUUUGGGUAUAAAUACCCCCAGGACUCGAUAACAUAAAAGUAAGACAUAAUCAUUCUUCAUCAUAAAUCAUUCAUGCAUCAUCACGGUCAUCCAUUCAUCACUACUAUCAUUCAUUCAUCAUUACAAUCAUUCAUGUAUUAUCACAAUCAUUAAAGAAUCAUUUCAAGUAGUUGGGCAUCACAACAUACUUUUCCUUUCAAGAUCCUUAGGACAUCGAAUUAAGCAUUUAGGAAACAUAGACCUCUAUUCAUCAUUAUAUACUAGCCUAGGGAAGACAUGCUAUUAGAUUAUACCCCAUUCAACGAGAUCUUAUAUCAAGUACUUCAUACCUAUAUCGGUCUUGUCAUGUAUUUGGAUAUCACUUGAUUUGGGGGAAACUUCAUACUAACACGUCAAGUAUUAAAAGCUUAGCAUAUAUCAAAGAGCACAAAUUCAGGGAAUUUACAACCAUCAUAUCUCGACUUGUUUCUUUGUUCCCUAGGGUCUUUCAACAACCACUAGACACGACUGAUUUUACACCUACUUGGGGAUUUCAUGCUAUCUUGGCACAUUUCACUCACUAAGGCAUUUUAUCAAGCACUAGGCAUGCAUGGACUAGCUCACAAUUUGGAGUUUCAAGAGGGUCUAUCACAAACAUCACAUGAAUUCCACAUACUAGGGUCAAAGGUCAUAAAUUUUGUAGGCAAACAUAAAUCAAAACUCAACAACACAUUAAACAUCCAUUUCAACUCAUACAAAUCAUUAACAACUCAUAAGCAUAAAAAUCUUUUAGAUUUAAAAAGAGUUCUUGAGCUUCUUGGAUGAAAGGAACCCAAGAAACAACAUCUACAUACCUUAACCUUUGAAAUUGGAUGAACUUUAGUGCUUAAAACUUUAUCCACACUUGAAAUAAAUAAAUUCUUGAAUCCCACACUAUGAGGAACUUGAUUCUUGAAGAAACCACCCAGUUCUUAAUAUAAAACGAGUUAUGGUCGAUUGAAUUUGAUCUAAAUUUUGACGGUCACUAAAACUUGAACGGUAGGAAAUUUUUCUACUCUUUCAUGAGUUAGGGGACCUCUAUGAUCUCAAUUCAUGCUCAAAUAAAUUCCCACACAAUUUCAAAGUAUUUAAUACUUGGAAGGAUAUUUCUUAAUCAUUUUGACUCAGAUUUUCACUUUACCAAAUACGCUCUAAGGCUCAGACUGGAAGAGGAUUUUGCGGAGCAUUACAGAUUUUUAUCUUGAAAACACAUUGGAUGGAUUCCAUUUUUGAGAUACCAUUCUUUAUUACUUGUUUGUAUUUGAUGACUCCUUACUCAUAAGUGGUAUCAUUCUUGUGAACCCUAGGGCAAAUGUGUCACUGGCUUUUUUUAGUGUUGCUUACAUACUUGCAUCCUUGUUUGACAUAUUUGUACUUCAUUUAUAUGGACCAAAACUUGUGGGUGAUAAGUUAAUUUACUUGCUUAUGUAAGAGUCCAUGAUUGUUGAAUACUAUUGGCCACCUUCAUUGGGUUGGACAAGUUGAAAUAUCAAAUGAGAUUCUGAGGAGCAUGCCUAAUACCAUAACUAGAGGGAACCCAACUUCUUGGUAGAGCCAAUUAUUUUGGAUUACUUUGGUUUCUAGUAAGUUCUCUAUCCCCAUUAGUAGAAUGAAGAGAGCUCAUAUGAUACAAGACAAAUUACUAAAAAGAUUCUAAGUCAAGGUAAUUAGAGAAGAUAUAGAUAUGAAGAGGAGUAUUGUGAUCCACCAUGAUGAGGAUAGGAAAAAAAGGAGUCUCUUUCUUUGAAUAUUUGGCCCUUUGGGUUAUUUUUGGGCUCAUUUGACAUUUAGGGUCACUUUUGGACCCAUUUUGUAAUAAAUAGCCCAUAGCUAUAAAUAGCUAGGGUUUUUUUCUUAAACUUAGAUAGUUUGGAUGAACUUUACUUGAGAGUGUUUCUAAACUUGUUGGGAGCUUGUGAUUGUCUAGAGACAUUGAUUGUGAGGGGUUUAAUUCCUCUCUCAGAUUUUGUAGGAGAUAGGUCUUUGUGGUAAUCGAAAGGGAGGACCUCAAAUUUAAUAUAUCUUUGGGUUGUCCUUUCUUUAUCAUUUUUUGCUGUCUAUCUAUCUAUAUAUAUAUAUAUUUCUCAAAGUUUAUCAUCUUUCGUUUAUUAUCAUUUGAUUUUCGUACUUAUGUUUUGUUUUUGUGUUUUUUGUCGUAACAUUAUACCAGAGCUUGUGAUUGUCUAGAAACAUUGGUUGUAAGGGAGUUCAGUUCCUCUCUCCAUAUUCAUAGGAGAUAGGUGUUUGUGGUAGUCAAAUGGGAGGUCCUCAGAUUUAAUAUAUCUUUGGAUUUUCCUUUCUUUAUCAUCUUGUGUGUAUCUUCUAUCUAUCAAUUUCUCCAUUUUUAUAAUCUUUUCUUUUAUUAUCAUUUGACUUUCAUACUUAUGUUUCAUUUUUUGUAUUUUCUUUCAUAUCAUUUGGUAUCAUAGCUGAGCUUGGAUUCAUUCGUACGAAUUCAAUCUUGAGUUUGUUAUUAAAUUAAAAUAAAAAAUUACAAAAAAGGAGUUUCCUAUUUUUGGUGGUUCUCCAAAUUUGAAGUUCCUAAUUUUUGUUUUUCCUUGAGAUUCUAGUGAUAGAAUCUUGUUCUCUAAUACUAUUUGAGUCCAAGUCUCCAAAUUUGAUCUUAAACUAAGUUGAUUUUAAGAUUCUAUCAUUGUUGAGUUUAAGCCUGAAGAAAAUAAAAAAUGAGUCCCUAAAUCUAGAAAUUUUGGAGUGAAAUUGAGGGUUGAUAAUCAUUGGGAUUUUUUACCCAUACCAAAAGGAUCUUGGAUUUCAAAUUUGGGGUGAAUCCGAGUUGAAAUGAGGAAGUUAUGAAUUUUGUAAGAUUACCUUCAUCUUGAUAUUCUUCCAAGAAUUCGUAUCAACAUGUGUUUGAUAUAAAAAAGGAAGAAAGAGAAAGUUUUUGGGUAUUAGUACAAAGGAAUAUCCCGAGAGAGAGAGUGCAAAAAGGGGCCAUAAAAGGACAAAUUUUGGAAGCUCAAGUUGUACUUCCACAGGGCAUCUGCGCCUACACUUGCUAACAUAAGUCCUUCACCUAUGAAUAGGUGACAUUCUAGCAUCGUGGAUUGACUUGCCAUGUGCCAUCUGCAAUGGCAGCCCAUCACCUAUGGCCACACCUCACCCAACGCAAGUUUAUCCUCAUGUUCUAACCUUCUAAUUUCAUUUUCUUGAUUCCUAAUCGCUUCCUUUGAUUCCUAAAACUAUUUUUCAACUAGUAAGAACCUUACUUAGUUUUUAAUUGGUUCUCGAGUCCGUCUCAUUUCAUUUUUGUACUUUUUCUUGUAUGCAUUUAUCAUUUAGUUCCUAGUUAACUUUGUUGAUUCAAGUUCUUUAGUUUUCAAUAGAGUCAUCCAUUCCUCUCUCAAAAAUAUUCCAUUCUCACUGAGAAUAGAAAAUUGAUGCCUCAUAUACCAAUGUGAACAAGCAAGAUCAACAAGUUGAACUAAUUAUGAGACAAUGACUGUGAAAACACUAGUGAUUGGGAGAUUUGAUUUCACUAAUGUUAACCUUUUUUGUUAGUUGUUUUGAGUAUAUUAUUGAUAGAUAACAUGACACUGGAAGAAAAGGUUCAACCUACCAUAAGUAGGGCAAAUCUUGAUACAAUUUUAGAAGGUAUCAUUGGAAUACGACGAGGUAUGGAUUCUAUAAAUGAAAGGAUGCUAAACAUUGAGGAGAGGGUAACAAAUAUGGAUGGAAGGGUUUUAAAUAUGGAGGGACAUCUAAAUUAUUCUAAUACUACUCCCCAAAACAACCUCCAAUCAAUUUCAAGCAGCAAUUCCCAAGAAACUUCUACAACCAUCUUUCCUGGAACUCUAUACCACAUGGUUUACCCUUCUUGACAAUGAAAUGGUCCCUUACUAUCUAUUACUAUCAAUCAAAAUCCACAACAUGUAUCCUAACGACUAUAAUUUAACCAACCACCCCACCAACAAACUCCCUAAAAUCCACCCCAAACUACACAAAUUCUCACUCCACCCUAUUAAACACCGCAAAAACAAGUUCCAAACUAUCAAAUGCCACAAGUAUUAAACCCACAAGGCCUCAACCAACAUUACUACCUACCCUAUAAAGCUCCAUAAUUCCAAUUACCAUGCUACUAAAUAACACAAAAUCCAAACCCACUUUACUAAGAUCCACUUAACCAAAUGCCACCUAACCAAGUUGUAGGAGUUUAAGAAGAGUUUGAGGGACAUAUAGAAUGAGUUUAUGGGUAUAGUGCUUAAGGAAAUGGUCCAAGGUGCCAUGAAAAAUAUAGAGGUCUUGACAUGGGCCUCAAAUCUAUCAAGGUUACUCUUUCUAGUUUUCACGGAGGUAGUGAUACUAAAGAAUACCUCGAAUGAGAGUCACAACAUGAUAGGAUCUUCCAAAAUAAUAAUUUUUCUGAUAUUAAGAAAACAACCUAUAUUGUUGUUCAAUUUGAAAGAUAUGUUUUGACUUGGCGGGGAUCAUCUAAGAGAAUGUAAGGGGUUCUUCAUAGAGGUCAUUAUCUACCAUGGUAAGUAAUAAAGGCCCAUAUGAGAGCUAAGUAUGUACUGGAGAGAUAUAGACAAGGGUUUCUUGCCAUAUUAUACAAUUUGAGACAAGAAUAAAAGAGUGUUAAAGAUUACUAUGAUGAAUUCUAAAACCUACACUUUAAGCUUGAUUACAACAAGGAUGAAGAGAACACCAAGAUAUGGUUUAAGUGGGGUUAAAUCAACAAAUUACUUCUAGAAUGUCAAUGCAUAAGUUUUCUCGUAUGUAUGAUUUCUUAUAAGUGGAUAUUGAUGUUGAGCAACAUAUCAAGCGUAGAAGAAGGAUAUCAAGCCUAAGCUAGGAAAUCAAGUGUCCCUAACUUGGAGUCAAGGCUCUGAGUUCAAAAAGUCUUUUGAGAAGAAUUCUCCAAGGUAUCCCCCUUGAGAAGGAGGUAAUCCAAAUCGUAAUGGUAACCAAAGAUUUAAAUGUCAUGGAUGGGGUAACUGAAUGCAUGACUGUCCAACUCAAAGAUCAAUUAUACUUUGUAAAGCUGAACCAUACUACAAAAAUAAAGUGGAGCAAAAGGAAAAACAUAUAGGAGUUAAAAAAAAAUUGAUGAUAAUGCGUUGUAAAGGAUCCAUAUGAUGGGCAUAUCACCGUCCCAAAAUAUGCUAGACAACAAAGUGAUAUUAAAGAGGUUUGGCCUCGAGAAGGAGAUAUUAGCAUUACAGUUUACUUGGUUAAGCAAGUUAUGUUCCCUUCCAAAUCCAAGGACUCCUCUAAAAAUUUUGAUCUUGAAAAUGAUUAAUUCUUGAAUUUGAGGACAAAUUCUCUUCAAGAAGGAGAGGAUGAUACAAAUCAAAUUACUCACUCAUGGUAAUUGGUGAAUCUUUAUAGAUUAAUAGGAGUAUUGUUAUCCACUAUGAUAAGGAUGGGAGAAGGAGGAGUCUCGUUCUUUGAAUAUUUGGCACUUUGGGUCACUUUUGGGUUCAUUUGACAUUGAGGAUCACUUUUGGGCCCAUUUUGUAAUGAAUAGCCCAUGAUUAUAAUUAACUAGGUUUCUUCUUUCUUAGACUUAGAUGAUUUUGGAUGAACUUACACUUGAGAGUAUUUAUAAGCUUUUUGGGAGCUUGUGAUUGUCUAGACACGUUAGUUGUGAGGUGUUUCAAUUUAUCUCUUAAUAUUCAUAGGAGAUAGGUGUUUGUGGUAAUGGAAAGAGAGGUCCUUGGAUUUAAUAUAUCUUAGGGUUGUCCUUUUUUUCUCAUCUAGUUUCUAUCUGUUGAUUGAUUUCUCAAUUCUUAUCAUCUUUCCAUUACUAUCGUUUAAUCUUUAUACUUGUGUUUCAUUUUUGUAUUUUCUUUCGUAUCAUUAUACCAGAGCUUGUGAUUAUCUAGAAACAUUGAUUGUGAUGGGUUUCAAUUCCUCUCUCAAUCAUUAUAGGAUAUUGGUGUUUGUGGUAAUCGAAAAGAAAGGUCCUCAGAUUUAAUAUAUCUUUAGGUUUUCCUUUCUUUAUCAUCAUGUGUCUUUCUAUCUAUCUAUCUAUCUAUUUAUCUAUUUCUCAAUUUUAUCAUCGUUUCUUUAUUAUCGUUUGAUUUUUGUAUUUGUGUUUAGUUUCUAUAUUCUCUCUCAUAGAAUUAUAUAAACUUAAAUGCAUUAUUUUUACCCAUUUGUGUGGGGGAUACCUUUUUUUUUAGGCCGGUGAUAGUUUGGGGGUAAUCCUAUCCUUGGAAAUAGCUAGUACGUUGAGUGAAGUUUUAAGUUGGGAUGGCCUUGUUUAUGACACUGUACUUAGCUAUGAGAAUUAUCAUAUGAUACUUAGACUUAAAAGGGAUUUUGUGCUUGUUGAAAUAUAGAACCAAUGUGAGAUUACUUGUGUUUUUACAUAAAUGCCAUAGUUCUCUUAGUUGGGCCCUUUGUCAAAGGUUUUUGUGUAACCAAGUGUCCAUAGUUUUAUUGAGUAUGUACUCUUUAUAUAUCAUGUUGAUACUAGGUUAUACCAUAAGAAUGAGCAAUAUAGGGUGUUGAUUACAUGUUAUGCUCACUAUAAAUUCUAUCAUUGGCCAUUUGUUGAUUACAUUAUUGUCAUGGCCCGAACUAGGGCCAGCUGUGAUGUGUAUCUCAAGAACAUCGAGGAUCGAAGACCACCCCUUUUGCCUAGUCAAACAAAACAUAAUAAGCUAGUAGUAUAUGAAUUUCAAACAUAUAACAAGAUAAGCUAAGUUUUGAAGAUAUAACAAGACAGGCAACUUAGAAAGGAAUUUAAGAACUUUAACAACAUCCUAAUCCACAAUAAUCCACAAAGCCUUUAAACAGACCAAAACCAAACUAACUCGGUACAUUCCCACGACGAUAGACAAAAGAAUCCAAUAGAAGUAGUCUAAGAAAUAAAUGAAACAAUACUUUAAAAUGAUAGCCUUCUGAAGAAUGGAAGCUCACCAUUUCAAAGAUAACUGCUAACAACCCAAAAAUUCCAUCACCGUAUAGGAAAAAUAGAAGUGUUUUUGAUUCAUGUAUCGCGUGAGGAUAUAGGGUCUAGAGACAGUUAGCGAUGUGAGUGCUAGCAUAUAACUCAAGGAAGGGAUAAAUUAAUGCUAAGUCAAUAACCAUAGUAAAAUCCACAUGCACACAUUGUUCAUAUAUAUACAUAUACAUAUAUACAUACAUAUAUAUAUGUAUGUAUAACAAGCUAGGGUAGGGAACAAGAUUUUGCAUAAACGUAUAAUAUUAGACUGGACUAUGUAUCUCUAUCAUCAUAAUAGUUCCCACGGAUUUAUAAGCCCCAGUUCUCACCCCCUGGUCUUGUCACAGUUUGUGUAACCGCACAAACUAGAGAAUUAUCAUGUGUAUAUAUGAACCACUAGGACUCAAACAUCAGGUCAUAUAAUAAGGUGACAUAAACACUCGGUCAUAAAACAUAAGCCAUUUAGACCCCCGCAUCAGCAAACAUAGUUUCUAGUGUUGGUCCGUUAGGACCUCCACAUUCAUGGCUUAGCUACACAACCUUAAUUAAUCCCAAUUAAAAUAUUUAGCACAUAACCCAUUUAUUUAAUCAAGGAGUCAUUCAUUAAGGAAAUAUCAAGUGGUAUCGUCAUACCAACUAUAGCUUGCAAGUGAAUGUCAUCAUGCAAAAUCAAAUAGCCAAUGGAACUCUAAACCACUAACCAAUAGGACUCCAGCCUAUUAUGCCAACUAGGACUUUAACCCAUCAGCCAAUAGGUUCAAAAUAUUUAGCCAUUUGGGACUCAAACCUGUUUAGCCAUUUGGACUCCCAAGUUCUAUUUCAAAAUCAAUCUAUGGACAUAAAGGCCUUUUAAACUGUUCAUGUUUCAUUAGCCUUUUUAUCCAAUUGCAAUAAUUCAAUAGUAGUUCAAUGUGCAUAUUGUAAUACCCAAGAGUACACCCUAGACAUCAGAUGGUGCUUAUAGUCCCGAGGGACCAUAAGCUAACCUAUGAGCUAGUACCUAUUAUAAGCACUAAAUAAUAUAGUCAUAAUGCAGAAGAAUAACUGAUAUGCCAUAAGAUUUUAAAAACUGAAUUAUAAAUAUGAGGAACAUAGUUAUCUGAGUCUUAUAAAAACACUGGAAUCUGAAUAAACUGAAUAACUAACUGCAGUGUCAACUGAAGUCUGAAUACUGAAUAACUGACUCUAAUAUUUGAGAGCCUCUAAACUGAAUGACUGGGAGUUGAUGGGAUAGGCCCCAACUAACUCCAACUAACUACUAGACUGAAAAUAUGAAAUAGAAUACUCUGUUCCCAAAAUAUAAGGACUUACCACUACUACUGUUGAGAUGUCUAAAAUGUCUAAGCGCGGUCCGUGAACUGGGCAUCGAAACUUAUGAUAUAAUACAUCAUAGCAUAAGAAAAGGUAUGCGAAUAGUACUUUGAAUGUACUGGUAUGCUAAAUGAGGUAGGCUGUUAUGCAUGGUUUCAUGAACAGGAAUAAUAAAUUAUCUGAAUAUACAUGUACAGCAUGAAGUACUGAAUAGGGAGCGGUAAAUCUGUAGAUACUGGAAAUAUGUGAAAUCUAUAAAUAUUGUGUAUGCAUAAAAGUCUGUAAAUACUGAAGGUACGUGAAAACCUGUAGAUACUAAGGAUGCAUGACCAAGCAUAUAACAUGAACUAAAUAAAAUUUAGCAACAAAAAUACUGAAAUAAUUGAUAUCUGAAUGCCAUGGUCAAACAACACUAAGACUGAACUACUGGUUUAAUUAUUGGACUGAGACUGUGGGAGGUAUCAUCUAAAUGACAAGCCCCAAUCUGAGCUGAUCGGGGUCUAACCUAUAACCCCAGCUGGAAGAGUUUUAAUACCAUGCCAUGGGUACUAACACUGGCCAUGUAGAUCCACUAUACUGAUAUACUAUCCGAAAGACUAAGGGUAUCAAGCCUUAACUGACGAGUGACCCCUGCGAGAUAGUCAAACCUAAUCUGACGGGUGACUCCUCAUAUCCUAUCCUGACUAUGUAGUUCUGGAGUAUAGGGACUACUACUAAUGACUCUUCCUACCUGACGGGGAAUCCGCCAUCCCUAAACUCGCUCGGUGAUAAAUCCUACUCCCAGCUGAAAGACACUGAAAUACUAGACUGUUCUGAAUUUAACUAAUUGAUAUCUCACUAUCCUAAUAAUGCUCAUAGUAUGUUUUGAAGACUAUUCUAUAAUGUAUUGAGACUAGUCUAAGUAAAUAGCUAUGGUUUUCUGGUAUUCAAUACCCCCAGGACUCAAAAACAAUAAUAGUAAAAUGACUCUAAAGUUUGGAGGACAAAGCAUGAAGGUUUUUAUUAAAUCAAUCACUCUUAUAGGCAUGUUAUCAAAUAUUUGGAGUUCAUGGUUUGAUCAAAUCAUAGGAAUGUCAUGGAACUUGUAGUAAAAGCAUGAAUUCAAUAUGAAUACUACUAAAUCAUGAUUUAAUUCAAGGAAUGAUAACACUAAAACAUGGAGAAUUGAAUAACAAUAAUAAUUUCAUUGAAACAUAGUAUAAAAUCAUAGUUCAUAGAGAUUCAUGGAUGAAAUCACAAUUUAAAAUCAAAUAACUUGAAAAGAUCACAAUUUUGUAAUUUAAAUAGGAUACUUGGACUCAAUGGGUGAAAGGAACCCAUGGAUGAACACCUAACAUACCUGAGUUAAUGAAUUUGGAAGGAUUGAUGGUGAGUUCUUGAGAUUUGGCCUUGAAUUUGAGAGCUAGGGUUUCUUACCCGGUUAUUGGAUUUGGAUUAAUUUUAUAUCAUUGGAAAGCUAAUUGAAUUUUCUACGCAAAGGCAGGCUCUAAACUAAAAUUUAAUGAGUAUUUUGAAAAUCUUAUAUAUGAAUACUCAUGUAUUGGGACUUAGAUUAUGAUAGGGAAAUAUGAGGUAUUACAAUAUCUCCCCCUUGGGAUCAUUCUCCCUCGAAUGAGACUGGUUAAGUUGAGAAAAACUGAUGGACUGAGAUUACACACUGAACAUGCAUAUCUGAUGGAUGGAAUCCAUGACUGAACUGAUUUAUACAUGCACGACUGACAUAAACAUGAUGUGCAACUGAAACUAAGCAUGAUAAAGAUAAAUCUUAAGGAGAUUAGUACCUGAAAUCGAAUCUAAAUUUGUGGAGAAAAGAUGAGGGUACUUGGUUCGCAUAUCUGCUUCUGCUUCCCAAGUGUCUCCCUCAAUGGACUGAUUCCAACAAAGAACUUUUACUAGUGGAACCUCUUUGUUCCUUAGUCUACGAACUUGAUGAUCAAGAAUUUUGACUGGAACUUCCUCAUAGGACAGACUGUUCUGAACAUCUAUACUUUCUAAGGGAACAACUACAGGUGGAUCACCAAUACACUUCUUUAACAAUGAGAUAUGGAACACUGGGUAUACUAAAGCUAGAUCUAAAGUCAACUCAAGCUCAUAAGCUACCUUUUUAAAAUGACUAAGAAUUUUGAAGGGACCUAUAUAUCGGGGACUGAGUUUACCUUUCUUGUCAAAUCUAUUCACUUCCUUCAUAGGAGAUAUUUUCAAGUACACCAAAUCAUUGACCUCAAACUUGAGAUCCUUUCUUCUCAACACCUGCAUAUGAUUUCUGUCAGAUUUGGGUUAUUCUAAGCCUCUCUCUGAUCAACUGAACCUUCUCUAAAAUAUCAAACACCAAGUCAGGCCCUGCUACUGUAACCUCACCCACUUCAAACCAACCAAUUGGAUAUCUAUAUCUCCUGCUAUAGAGAGAUUCAAAUGGAGCCAUUUGGAUAUCAGAAUAAUAGCGUUAUUAUAUGCAAAUUCAAUCAAAGGCAAGUGUACCCUUGAAAUCAACAACACAUGAUAUCAGCAUAUCCUCAAGAGUCUGAAUGGUCUUUUCUGCUUGACCAUCUGUCUAAGGAUGAAAAGUGUACUGAGGUGGACUUGGGUACCAAGACCCUUUUGGAAUGCCUUCCAGAAGUGAGAGGUGAAUUGGGUACCUCUAUCUAAGAUGAUAGAUAAGGGAAUACCGUGCAACCUAACCAACUCUCUAAGAUAGAGUUUGGCAUAGUCCUCAGCUGCAUAAGAGGUAUGGACUGGUAAGAAAUGAGCUGAUUUGGUCAUCUGAUCUACUAUAACCCAAAUAUAAUCGUGCUGAUAAUGGGUAUGAGGCAAACCUAUCACAAAAUCCAUGUUCACUUCUUCCCAUUUCCAUGUCGGAAUAUUGAACUCCUCCAUGGACCCACUAUGCUUCUGGUGCUCAAUCAUAACUUGCUGACAUGUAGAGUAUUUAGCUACAAACUCUACAAUAUCCCUCUACAUCCCACUCUACCAAUAAAUCAACUGCAAAUCAUCGUACAUCUUAGUGGCCCCUGGAUGAAUAGAGUAAUGCAUAUCAUGCGCUUUUGCAAGAAUUCGUUGCCUCAAAUCUUCUACAUCAGGCACAUACAAUCUACCUUGACAAUGCAAAACACCAUCUCCCCCUUGGGAGAAAACCUCCACUUUCUAAUCUCUGACUAAUUCUUUCAACUUAACUUGGUUGGGAUCUCUAUCUUGCUUUUCCUUUACCUCAAAAAUUAGAGAUGAUUCUGAGCUACUCUGGACCCAUACACUACCUUCUGUUGAAUCAACUAAGUAGAUACCUAGUCGGGCAAGCUGAUGAACUUCCUAUCUAAAUUCUUCUUACCAUCCUCAACAUGAGCAAUACUACCCAUAGACAUUCUACUGAGAGCAUCAGCCACUACAUUGGCCUUGUCUGGAUGAUACAAAGCACUCAUGCCAUAAUCUUUCAACAACUCUAACCACGUUCUCUGAUGUAGAUUCAAAUAUUUCUAAGAGAACACGUACCGCAUGCUCUUAUGGUUAGUGAACACAUCUAUGUUCACCCCAUACAAGUAAUGCCUCCAAAUCUGUAAGGCAAACACUACAGCUGCUAGCUCCAGAUUAUGAGUAGGGUAAUUCUUCUCAUAGGGAUUAAGUUGUCUGGAGACAUAGGCUAUGACCUUACCUCUCUACAUAAGGACACAACCCAAACCUAUCCUAGAUUCAUCAUAGUACACAACAAAGCCAUCUAAACUAUCUGGUAGAUUCAAAACUGUGGCUGAGGUGAUUCGAGUCUUCAACUCCUGAAAACUCUCCUCAUAGGAAUCUGACCACUGAAACUUAACUUUCUUCUGCAUCAAUCUAAACAUGGGGGAUGAAAUAGAAGAAAAUCCUUCAACAAACCAAUGGUAAUAGCCAUCCAAACCCAAGAAAAUCCUGAUGUCUGAUGGAGAAAUAGGUCUGGGCCAGUUUCUCACUACCUUGGUCUUCUGAUGAUCAACCCUAAUGCCAUCACCAAAAAUAAUAUGGCUGAGAAAAGCUACUGAUCUUAGCCAGAAUUCACACAUACUAAAUUUAACGAACAACUAAUGGGCUCUAAAAGUCUACAACACUAUUCUGAGAUAGUCUGCCUAAUCACAUUCGCUAUGGGAGUAAACAAGGAUGUCAUCAUUGAAGCCUAUGACGAACAUGUCCAACUAAUGCUUGAACACUCAGUUCAUCAAGUCCAUGAAGGUUGCUGGGUAAUUUGUAAGACCAAAGGACAUGACUAGAAAUUCAAAGUGACCAUACCGAGUUCGGAAAGCUAUUUUUGGAAUAUCACAAUCUGACUCUGAGCUGAUGAUAGCCUGAUCUGAGGUCUAUCUUAAAAAGUAGUUGGGUCCUUGAAGUUGGUCAAACAAAUCAUCGAUUCUUGGAAAUGGAUAUCUAUUCUAGAGUAUGACUUUGUUCAACAGAUGGUAAUCUACGCAUAUUUUAAGAGAACCAUCUUUCUUACACACGAAUAGAAUAGGUGCACCCCACGAAUAGACAUUGGGUCUGAUGAAUCCCUUAUAUAGGAGAUCUUUUAACUAUUAUUUUAACUCCUUGAGUUUUGAUGGAUCUAUUCUAUAUGGAGGGAUAGAUAUGGGUUGAGUAUCUAGAAGAAAGUCUAUUCUGAAGUCUAUUUCCUUUUUGGGAGGAACUCCGGGAAGAUCUUUAGGAAAUAUAUCUGAGAAUUCAUUUACUACUAGAACUGACCCAAGGGUUGGAGUUUUUGAAUUAGAUUCUUCGACUUGAACAAGAUGGUAAAGACACCCCUUCGAUAUCAUCUUUCUCGCUCUAAGGUAUGAAAUCAACUUACCUCUAAAAUCUAUGGUACUACCCCUCUAUUCAAGGACUGGUACCUUUGGAAAAUGAAAAAUAAACUAUUUUGUUUCUACAAUAAACUGAGGCAUAGCAUGAGUGGGGCCAAUCCAUGCUGAGAAUGACGUCAAAAUCCAUCAUCUCUAACUCCACGAGAUCAACUAAGGUAACUUUCUGAGAUAUUGUAACUAGACAGUUCCUGUAAACCUGUCUGGCUAUAAUGGAAACACCUACUGAGGUAGACACUGAAAAGGGCUCAACUAGAGGUUUGGGACUUACUCUGAAAUUGAUAGCUACAUAUGAAUUUACAAAAGAAAGAGAAGUAUACCUGCAAUGUACCAGUAACUACGUCAGGAGAAUUUUCCUGAUCUUGGUGGGACUGAAGAGCAUAUAAUCUAUUUGUACGCUGACCACUGGUAGCACUGGAAGUGGCACCUUACUGAGUUGGGUGAUCAGACAGAACAGACGGCUGAUGGGACUAGCUCUAUUGGUGUAAAUCCCUACUUUCUGAGCAGCUACCCGACACUCCUAAAUUUGAUGGCCUGGCUUACGACAUCUGAAGCACACAUCACUGCUAGCUCUACACUCACCCAAAUGAUAUCUGUCACACUUCUAACAUAGAGAGUUCAUAUAGGCACUGCUAAUACUGCCUUGGGACUUAGAUCCCGAUGCUUUAUCCCUAUUAUUAUUUCUAAAUUUGGGUAUUGGGUCACUGGGUAGAGAGGGUGUUAGGGAUGAAGAUCUCUAAUGAAACUAAGAAUGGUUACCACCUUCUAACUAUGGCUGACUAAAAUUAAAACUACCUGUUAUAACUCUCUUGUUUCCACUCUCUCUCUCCUUAAUAUUCUGCUCCUUAAUUUGUUGGACAUGGACCAUCAACCUAGACAAGUCCAUCUCCCAAAUCAGCAUUAUGGUCCUGCACUCCCUGACGGCACUAUCAGAUACACUAGACACAAACUUACUUAUCUUAGAUCUGUUGUCAGCUACUACAUGAGGAGCAUAUCUAGAUAACUGAGUAAAUUUGAGGGAAUACUCUUUCAUGCUUACGCUGCCCUACCUCAAGUUAAUAAAUUCUAGCACCUUGGCCUCCCUCAACUCCAAUGGGAAGAAUUUAUCUAAGAAAGUUAUGGCAAACUCUUCCCACUCUACAGGCCUUGCAUCAACAUCCCUAUCUACUUUCCACUGCUUAAACCAUGUAUGGGCUACAUCCUGCAACUGAUAUGCAGCCAACUCAGCACUCUCACUGGAUGUCACCCCCAUGGCAUCUUCUACCUUUUGAACCAUAUCUAAGAAUUCUUGGGGAUUCUCUUCAUACUUGGAUCCCAUGAAAAAAAUGGAUUCAUCCAGGUGAAGUACCAAAUUUUGGUUACAGUAGUAUUAGCCAUUGGAUUGGCCGAAAUAGCAGGUGGUCGUUCAUUCUAGGCUGCUACAGCUCUAAAUUCUGUGUAAGAGAAUGCUCAUCUAGAGGAUCUACCUAGAUGGGAAAAGGUGAUGUAAAUACUGUGUAUGCAUAAAAGUCUGUAAAUGUUAAAGUUAUGUGAAAAACUAUAGAUACUGAGGAUGUAUAACCACGGAUAUAACAUGAACUAAAUAAAUUCUGUAAACUAAAAUACUGAAAUAAUUGAUAUCCCAAUGCCUUGGUCAAACAAUACUAAGACUGAACUACUGGUCAGAUUAUUAGACUGAGACUGUGGGAGGUAUUAUCUAACCGACUUGCCCCAAUCUAAGGUAAUCGGGGUCCAACUUAUAAUCCCAAUUAAAUGGGUGUUAAUAUCAUGCCACGGGUACUAAAACUGGUUGUGUGGAUCUACUAUACUGAUAUACUAUUCGAAGGACUAAGGGUGUCAAGCCUGAACUGAUGUGUGACUCCUGCGAGAUAGUCAAGCCUAAUCUGACAGGUGACUCCUUAUAUCCUAUGGUGGCUAUGUAGUUCUGAAGUAUAGGGACUACUACUAAUGACUCUGCCUACCUGACGGGUAAGCCUCCAUCCCUACACUCGCUCGGUGAUAAAUCCUACUCCCAGCUGAAAGACACUGAAAUACUAGACUGUUCUAAGUUUAACUGACUGAUAUCUGACUGUCCUGAUAAUGCUCAUAGUAUGUUCUGAAGACUAUUCUCUAAUGUACUGAGACUAGACUAAGUAAAUAGCUAUGGUUUUAUGGUAUUCAAUACCCCCAAGACUCUAAAACAAUAAAAGUAAAAUGACUCUAAAUUUUGGAGGACAAAGCAUGAAGGCUUUUAUUAAAUCAAUCACUCUUGUAGGCAUGUUAUCAAAUAUUUGGAGUUCAUGGUUUGAUCAAAUCAUAGGAAUGUCAUGGAACUUGUAGUAAAAGCAUGAAUUCAAUAUGAAUACUACUAAAUCAUGAUUUAAUUCAAGGAAUGAUAACAUUAAAAUAUGGAGAAUUGAAUAACAACAAUAAUUUCAUUGAAACAUAGUAUAAAAUCAUAGUUCAUAGAGAUUCAUAGGUGAAAUCACAAUUUAAAAUCAAAUAACCUGAAAAGAUCACAAUUUUGUAAUUUAAAAAGGAUACUUGGACUCCAUGGAGGAAAACAACCCAUAGAUGAACACCUAACAUACCUGAGUUAAUGAAUUUGGAAGGAUUGAUGGUGAGUUCUUGAGAUUUGGCCUUGAAUUUGAGAGAUAGGGUUUCUUGUUCUUGAAAAGGGGAUCUUUAAUUUGAGAGGAAUUGAAUAAUGAUGAGUAUUUAGAUCAAUUAGGGGUUAAAUUUCGUAUUUAGGGUGAGUUUAGGGAUUAAGAAAAAGACCUAAAUACCCCCUAAAUGAAUUUUAAAAUGUAAGCUGAAAACUGAAGAUCCUGAUUUUUGGCCUUGGCACAAUGCGCCACUAUCGCGCCAAGCCACUAGAAAAGGGACAAUAGGGAAACUGGAUGAUAGCGCGAUGCGUAAGGUCGUUGUCCUUCUCUAGAAUUCCAUUUUGGCCACCUCCAAGAUGUGCCAAAAUCGCGGAGGCUCACUAAAAAUUGCCCAACAUGAAAUGGGUCCUUAGCGCGAUGUGCCAACAUCGUGGUACCACACUAAAAACUGGAAAGCUAAUUGAACUUCUUACGCAAAUACAGGCUCUAAACUGAAAAUUAAUGAGUAUUUAGAAAAUUUUAUAUAUGACUAAUUAUGUAUUGGGACUUAGAUUAUGCUAGGGAAAUACGGGGUAUUACACAUAUACACAUAUUCGAAAUAAAUUUCACAAGAUUGGGUUGAGGUUAUACCAAUUACAACAUUAAAAACCAUCAAUUUAGGGAAUCCACGCCCCCCAUAUAAUUAACCACACCCAUGCACCCUAAAUUGUUCAAAACCAUCAAUUCAAAUCGUGAAUCAUUCAUAAAAUCCAUGGGAAAAAUAAUUCAUUUAUUGAGGCUCAAAACCCUCAAUCCAUAUUCAUAAACCACAAUUUAAUCACAAGAAUAACAAUUGUAAAUACAUGAUAUUAACAAAAUAAACAUUGGUGAAGAGUAACAUUCUUGAUAUAUAAAGAAUUAUGAAGAGAAAUCAACCAUUAGAUGCUCUAAUUUUCAAUUACUUGGAAACCCUAGCGUUCCUGACUUAGGGAUUUGAGAGAGAAGAGAGCAUGUAUUUGAUUGUUAAAGUGAUAAAAAUAACCCUUUUUGGGUGUUUUAUGUAUGUGGGUCCUAAGUAGGGAAGAAGGUAAAUGACAAGAAUGCCCCCACUUUAAAGUGUAGAAAAAGUCGCGUUGUCGUUACUAGUUACCUUACGACUUGUGAAAUCUAGCUACGAGUCGUCUCCACAACUCAUAGUAUGAGAAGUAUCUCAAGGACCCCUUACUAUUGACCCUAUGAGUCACACACUAUGACUCAUGAUGUUUCAAUACAAUACAUAGGGUCCUAGUCAUUGUCAAGGGAGAAAUAUCAGUCACCUUUACUGGUUUGGAUAUGAGAAGCACUAUGCGACUCGUGUAGAGUCUUGAUAACUCGUUGGGUCAAGUUGUACUCAGAAAAGACACCUUGGGAAACCUUAUUGGUCAGCCUAUGAUUGCGGUACUACAACCCAUCAAUACACCAUACGACUCAUAAGGUGAGUCAUAAUCAGGGCAGAAAGCUGAAAGUCUAGAAAUUUUUCAAGGACCAAAAUUUAGGGUGUCACAUCCCCCCCCCCCUUCCCAGGGAUUAUUCAUCCCUGAAUAAUGAGUCAAGGCAUCCAUUAGCACAAUUUCAAGAUAGAACACGACCACAAAUUUCCUUUCACAAGGUUAUAAAACAAAGAUGUUAAGGAACACACAUAGCUUAAGCACGAUUAUCUGGAACAUGGAAAAAGAACGAAUAUUUGGACUUCAUGUCUUCUUCAUCUUCCUAAGUAACUUAUUCAACCUUAUGAUUCCUCCAUGGAGCGUUCACUGAAGCCACAUUCUUAGUCCUCAAUAGACGAACAUGCCUAUCCAAAAUAUCCACUGAGAUUUCCUCACAAGAUAAGGAAUCUGUAAUACCCACACUCACUAAAGAAACAGCCAAGGAAGGAUCACUACUCACUUCUUUAACAUCAAAACAUGAAAUACCAAGCGAAUGGAACCCAAACUAGAUAAAUUCAACUCAUAAGCCAUAUUUCUUACUCUCCUCAAAAUCAAGUACGGGCCAAUGUAACGGGGACUGAGUUUCCCUGUCUUUCUAAACCUCAUCACUCUUUUCAUGGGAGACACGUUCAAGAACAUCCAAUCACCAAUAUCAAACUCCAAUUCCCUAUGCCUCACAUUCGUAUAGGACUUUUGGCGAAUUUGGGCGAUCAUAAGCCUAUCCUAAUCACCUUCACCUUCUCUAUGAUCUGAUGGACUAAGUCAAGAACUAACAAUCUAGUCUCACCAACUUUGAACCACCCAAUAGGAGAACGACAUCUCCUACCAUAUAAAGCCUCAAACGGAGCCAUCUGAAUACUAGAAUGAUAGUUGUUAUUAUACGCAAACACUAGGAGAGGAAAAUAUCAACCCAACUACUACCAAAGUAAAUCAUGCAGGCCCUUAGCAUAUCUUCCAAAGUCUAAAUAAUUCUCUUCACUUGUCCAUCCAUCUGAGGGUGGAAAGCGGUGCUAAGGUUCACCUUAAUUCUGAAACUUCUCUGAAAAGACCGCCAAAAGUGAGAUGAGAACUGCAUACCUCGAUCAUAUAUAAUGGAAACAAGAGCACCAUGCAACUUGAUGAUCUCCUAAAUAAAAAUUUUAUUAUAAUCCUCUGCAGAAUAAUUAGUCCUUACGGGCAAGAAAUAAGCAGACUUGGUUAUCCCAUCCACGAUGACCCAAAUCGAUUCAAACUGAUGACGAGACUAUGGAAGACCAAUAUCAAAGUCCAUGUUAAUUACUUCAGACUUCCACACGAUCAACUUAAUAUCCUAAGACAAACCACCAGGCCUCAAGUGCUCCACUUUCACUUUAUGACAAAUCCUACACUUGGCCACAAAAUUAGCUACAUCCCUCUUCAUGUUAUUCCACCAAUAGAUCUCUUUCAAGUCAUGGUUUAUUGUAACACCCCGGGAGUACACCCUGGAUGCUACACGGUGCUUACGGUCAUAAAUGACCCCAAGCCAAUCCAUGAGCUAGUAGCUAUUGUGAGCACUGAACAAACUAAAAACAAAAGAUACACAUAUGCAAAAAAACUAAAAACGCUACAAGGUUUAGCUACUAAAACAUCUCUAAAAUUUUAAGCUUGAAAAUAAUUGUUUGAACAGAAUACUAUAAAGACUAUCAAAAACAACUAAUAAUUGACUAACUAUCUGAAAGUAUUUGAAAGCCUCUAACUAACUGACUGUAAAGUUGAUAGGGACAAGUCUCCAACUAACUCCGACUGGCUACUAAAUUGAAACACUGAAAUAACUAUAAACAGUCCUUGGAGUAUGAGGACUCACCACUGAUACGCUGGGUGGUGUAGGUGCAGUUGAGAAAAUGAGUGUUCGAACUUAUGAUAUGAUACAUCAUAGCACAAGAAACAAGUAUAUGGUCAAUACUUUGAAUGUACUGGUAUGCUAGAUCGGGUUAGAAUGAUAUGCAUGGGCUCGUGUACAUGAAUAAUAACUACCCAAAUAAAUAGCAUGAGAUAACCGAUGCAUGGUAUACAUGAAAGUUGUAAAAUCAGAGCAUGCAUGACCAAGCAUAUAACAUGAUACUGAAAUAGUUUGUAAACUAAAAUCAUUGAAAUCUAGUAACUAAAUAACUGAUAAUUGUAUGCUAUAGUCAAUACAAACCUAAACUGAAUUAUACUAAAGACUAAACUAAGACUAUGGGAGCUAGCUAUAACCGACAUGCCCCAAUAUAUUAUCAAUGUCCAACUUGUAACCCCAGUUGGAAGGGUGUCAGUACCGUGCCAUGGGUACUAACACUGGCUGUAUGGAUCUACUAUCUGAUGUCCCAGAGGAUGAGGGUGCUAUGCCUAAUUGAUGGGGGACCCCUUAAAUUCUAUGGUGUCACCGUUGGUCUGGAACCUAGGGACUGCUACUAACGCCUCAUGCCUAACUGAUGGGGGAGACUCCAUCCCUAAGUUCACUUAGUGUUGAAUGUUACUCCCAACUUAAGAAAUUAAUUCUAUACUGAAAUAAUAAUGAUUAAACCAACAACUAAUCAUACUAACCGCUUGAAGGAUAAUGCUUAUGGUUUCUAUGAGAUCGUUCUACAAAUACUGGGACAAUGUAAACAGCUAAAUUUUGGAGAAUUCAUAACCCCAAGGACUCAAUGAUAAUAAUAAUAAGAACAUACUGAACCUUCGAAAACCAUAAUAAGUAGUCUUUGUUCAAAACCCAAAAUCAUUUAGGCAUUUCAUCAAACACUUUAAAUUCAUGGGUUUAAGCAUGGGAAUAGUGUAAUUCAUGGUAUAAUAACAUAACUUCAGUACUAAAAUCAUGGGUUAAGAAUUUAAAAUGCAACUUUCAUCCUUCAAACAUGUCAAGGGCUAAUAUUCAACGAAAACACAUGUAAAUAUGGUAUAAAAAUUGAAACUCAUGGAAGUUCAUGCACAUAAUUCAUGAUAACAUGUAAAGAUCAAAAUUUUAAACUUGAAAAUAGAUUCUUGGACUCCAUGGGUGAAAAGGACCCAUGGAUGAACAGAAAACAUACCUUAAUUGAAUAAUUCGUGAAGGUUCUUGGUAGUUUUCUUGAAACUUGAGCUUGAAUCUUGAAGGGGCUAGGGUUUGUUCUUGAGAUAGAAUGGUUUUCAGUUGAGGGAGUUUGAGUAAAAGAUGACCAAAUAUGCUUUGGGGGGCUUUAAUCCCAUUUAUGGCUGAGGUAAAGUGAGGGAAAAGACUAAAAUACCCUCCUGGACCCAGAAUUAAUUAACCUUAAACGUGGCCAGUGACGCGAUAAGCGACGUGUCGCAUUGCUCAGUCAAUGCAUUAGGAGACGCAUCGCAUUGCACCCCACCAAUAUGAUAAGCGGUGUGCUGCGGCCAUAUCACACUGACUCACUGGUUUGAACAUCCAAACAAGCCUUAAACCUCAUCCAAAAAAUCUAAAACUUACCCAAGACAUGCUACCAACCACCUCGAUCAUGAAUCAACUUAAAAAUCAAUGUUCUAAGGCCGAGUAGGUCGGAAUUAAAAUUGUCAAAGUUUAAGGGGCUUUGAAAAUGACUAAGUCUUAACACAUAGUGAAAUUUUCUAAGUCUUGGACCCCUUUAACAUGCAAGAGUGAGCUGAAAUAAGUUAGGACAUUACAGGGUCUUAUAAUAUCUCCCAUUUGGGAAUAUUUAUUCUCGAAUUAGAUUGGUUAAACUGAGUAUUACUGAGGUAUUGAGAUGACAUGAUGAAUAUACACAACUGAAACAUGAUUUCAUGACUGAGUUUGAACAUGGUGACUAACUAAACUGGUUUGUGAAUACAUGCAAUGACAUGAAUAUGACCAUAUGGCUGUAACUGAGGAUAGAAAAGAGAUAAUCUAAGGGAAAACUAUUACCUCGAACUGAAUCUAAGUUUGCAGAGAAGAGGUGAGGGUACUUGGUUUGCAUAUAUGCUUCUAUUUUCCAAGUGGCUCCCUCAACAAGCUUAUUCCUCCAUAAAACUUUAACCAGGGAAACAUUUUUGUUCCUUAGUCUCCAAAUCUGACAAUCUAGGAUCUCAACUGGGAUCUUUUCAUACGAAAUGCUAUCCUGAACAUCUACACUUUUAAGGGAACAACUACAGCUGGAUCGCCAAUACACUUCUUUAAUAAAGAAACAUGGAACACUUGGUGAACGGAUGCCAAGUCUGCAGGCAAUUCAAGCUCGUAAACUACUUUUUCAAAAUGACUCAAGAUCCUGUAAGGUCCAACAUAUCGGGGACUAAGUUUUCCCUUCUUGAUAAACUUUUUCACUCCCUUCAUGGGAGAGAUUUCAAAUAAAUUGAGUCUCUAACUGCUAACUCGAGAUCCUUCCUAUGAACAUCCGCAUAUGAUUUUUGGCAGCUUUGGGUUGUCUUAAGCAUUUCUCUGAUUACCUAAGCUUUCUUCAAUGGAUUAAAUACUGAAUCUGUACCUAUCAACACAGUCUCACCUACCUCAAACCAACCAAUAGGAGAUCUAUAUCUCCUCACAUAGAGAGCCCCAAAUAGAGCCAUCUGAAUACUAGAAUGAUAACUAUUACAGUAAGUAAACUCAAUUAGUGACAAGUGAUCAUACUGCCCUUAAAGUCGAUAACACAAAAUUUGAAUAUGUCCUCUAAGGUAUGAAUAAUCCUCUCUGCCUGACCAUAUAUCUGAGAGUGAAAGGUUAUAUUGAGACAAACUUGGGUGCCAAAGCCCUUCUGAAAAGCUUUCCAAAAGUAAGAGGUAAAAUGAGUACCUCUAUCUAAAAUAAUGAACAAUGGGACUCCAUGUAACCUAACCAACUCUUUAAUAUAGAGCUUGGAAUAAUCUUCGACUGAAUAAGAAGUAUGGACUGGUAAGAAAUGGGCUGAUUUGGUCAUUCUAUCUAUAAUAACCCAAAUCGAAUCAUGCUGACGACGUGAACGAGGCAACUCUAUCACAAAGUUCAUGUUUAACUCUUCCCACUUUUAAGUGGGUAUCCUGAACUCCUACAUAGAGCCACUAGGCCUUUGGUGCUCAACCUUAACCUACUAACAAUUAGAACACUUUGCUACAAAUUUUACAAUAUCUCUCUUCAUUCCACUCCACCAAUAGAUUUCCCACAAAUCACGGUACAUCUUAGUAGCUCCUAGGUGAAUUAAGUAAGGCGCACCAUGUGAUUCUACAAGAAUUUACUGCCUUAACCCAUCAACACACGGUAUGCACAGCCUACCCUGACACCGCAACGCACCAUCUUCUCUUAGGAGAAAACCUCUACCUUUUGAUCUCUGACUAACUCCUUCAACAUAACUAGACUAGAAUCCUUAUCUUGAUUUUCUUUCACUUUGGCAACCAAAGAAGAUUCUAAACUUUUCUGAACCCAUACACUACCCUCAGCUGAGUCAACCAAAUGAAUGCCUAAUCUAUCCAACUGAUGAACCUCCUGAACCAACUUCUUUUUAUCACUCUCAACAUGAGCAACAAUACUCAUAGACAAUCUACGAAGGGCAUCUUCCACUACAUUGUCCUUGUUCAGAUGAUACAAAACACUCAUAUCAUAAUCUUUCAAUAAUUCUAACCACCUUAUCUGACGAAUAUUUAACACUUUCUGCAAUAACACAUACUGCAAACUCUUGUGAUCUGUAAACACAUCAAUAUGUACCCCAUACAGAUAAUGCCUCUAAAUCUUUUAGGCAAACACAACGGUUGCUAACUCAAGGUCAUUGGUGUGAUAAUUCUUCUCAUGAGGAUUAACCUGUGUAGAUACAUAGUUUAUAACAUUACCUCUCUGCAUCAGAACGAACCCCAAACCAACUCUAGAAGUAUCCCAGUAAGCAACAAAUCUAUCUGAACCAUCUAGCAAGGUCAAAAUUUGGGAUGAAGUAAGUUGAGUCUUCAACUGCUGAAAACUCUUCUUGCAAGAAUUUGACCACUAAAACUUGAUGUUCUUCUGAGUCAAUCUGGACAUGGGGGGGUGCAAUAGAUGAAAAGCCUUCAACAAACCAUCAAUAAUAUCCAGCCAAACCUAAGAAACUCUUAAUAUCUAAUAGAGAAAUAGGUUGGGGCCAGUUUCUCACUGCUUUGGUCUUUUGAGGGUCAACUCUAAUGCCAUCAGCGAAAAUAAUAUGGCCAAGGAAAUCUACUAAUCUUAUCCAAAACUUUCACUUAUUGAAUUUGGCAAAUAGUUAAUGGGCUCUAAGAGUCUACAAUACUAUUUUGUGGUGGUCUGCGUGAUCAUUUUCAUUAUGGAAAUAGACAAGGAUAUCAUCUAUGAUGACUAUGAUGAACAUGCCCAAGUACUGUUUGAACACUCGAUUCAUCAAGUCCAUAAGAGCUACUGCGGUAUUUUUCAGACCAAAGGACAUGACAAAAAACUCAAAGUGACCAUACCGAGUUCUAAAAGCUAUUUUUGGAAUGUCACAUUCUCUGACUCUGAGCUAGUGGCAGACGAAUCUGAAGUCUAUCUUAGCGAAAUAACUGGCACCCUGAAGUUGGUCAAAUAAGUCAUCAAUCCUGGGUAAUGGAUACUUAUUCUUGAUUUAUGACUUUAUUCAAUUGACGGUAAUCGAUACACAUUCUAAGAGAACCAUCUUUCUUAUGCACGAAAAAGAUUGGAGCGCCCUAUGGGUAAACACUGGUCUGAUGAAUCCUUUGUCUAAGAGGUCUUUUAACUAUUCUUGUAACUCCCUAAGCUCUAUUGGAGCCAUUCUGUAGGAAGAAAUAGAGAUAGGCUAGGUAUCUAGACGAAGGCCUAUUCCAAAGUCAAUUUCCCUUUUGGGAUGAACCCUGAGAAGAUCUUUAGGUAACACAUCUAGAAAUUCCCUCACUACUGAAACUAACUCGAGACUGAAAGUCUUCAAACUGGCAUCUUUGACUCAAACAAGAUGGUAUAAACACUCCUUAGAUAUUAUUUUUCUCACUCUAAGGUACAAAACAAGCUGACCCUUAAGUGCUAAAGUACUAUGCUUCCAUUCUAGGACAGGUUUAUUCAAAAACUGAAAAUGAAUAACCCUCUUUCUACAAUCAACUAAAGCAUAGCAUGAGUGGAGCCAAUCUAUGAAGAAAAUGACAUCAAAAUCCGUUAUCUCAACUCCACAAGGUCAGCUGAAGUAACUUUUUAGGAUAUUAUGACCGGACAGUUCCUGUAUACCGGACUGUCUAUAAUAUAGACACCUACUGGAGUAGACACUAAAAAGGGUUGUGCUAAAGUCUCAGGACUGACACCAAAAUUCAUAGUUAUAUAGAGAGUUACAAAAGAAAGAGAAGCUCCGAGAUCUAACAAAACAUAAAAAUAUAAAUAAAAGACCUGUAACACACUUGUAAUAACAUUAAGAGAACUUUCUUGAUCAUGAUAGGACAGAAGUGCAUACAAUCUAUUCUAGUGCUGACCGUUGGUAGCACUAAAAGUGUUGCCUUGCUGGGUCGGGCGACCUGUUGGUGCUGCUGAAGAGUUAGUCUGACCCUACUAGUGAUCAUUCAUACCCUUCCACAUACCAUUCGAAGAUUCCUUCAACCUGUCGCCUGGAUUUCUAUAUCUAAAACACACAUCGCUGCCAGCCCUGCAUACCCCUUAAAGAUUCCUACCAUAUUUUUUGCGGAGGGGAUUAGUUUGACCACUAUUCACACUACCCUGAGUCUUAGAGCCUAGCACCCUAUCUCGAUUACCAAUUAUGAACUUUGGCAUAGGAGCACUAGCUAAAGACAAAGCUGGAGCUAAAGAUUUCUAACAGAAUUAAGGAUGGUUACCACCCUCUGACCUCGACUGAGUAAAAUUAAAGCUACCUAUCCUAGACCUCUUGUUCUCCCUUUCUUUUACCUUAACCUUCUACUGCUCAAUCUGCUGAGCAUGGACCAUAAUCCUAGACAAGUUUAUUUCCUUCAUCAACAUUGCAGUCCUACACUCCUUGACCAUGCUAUUAGCUACAACAGAGACCAACUUAUCAUUUUAGACCUGUUAUCAGCCACCAUCGAAUGAGAAUACCUAGCCAACUGGGUAAACUUAAGGAAAUACUCCCUCACACUCUUGUUACCCUACUUCAAGUUAAUAAAUUCCUGCACCUUAUCUUCCCUUAACUCUAAGGGAAAGAACCUAUCUAAAAAGGUAGUAGAAAAUUCCUCUUAUUUAAUAUGCCCUACAUCUAUGCCUCUAUCCCCCUUCCACAGCUUAUACUAGGUGAGUUACGUCCUAUAACUAGUAAGCACCCAACUCUACACUCUCACUAAAGGUCACAAUAAUAAUGUCAGUUACCUUCUGAACCAAGUCAACAAACUCGUUCGGAUCCUCAUCAGACUUGAAUCCCAAAAACAGAGGAGGGUUUAUUGGGUAAAGUCCCAAAUCCUAGCUGCGGUAGAGUUUGCUACUGGAAUGGCAGGGACAGUAGCCUGCUUAUUAUUCUGAGCUACUACUGAGUGAUCUAAAGUAGUGAAGGAGUUUAUGGAUUCAUCAUGAGAGACAUGCUCGUUCAAGUAAGUCCCAAAUCCUAGCUGCGGUAGAGUUUGCUACUGGAAUGGCUGGGACAGUAGCCUGCUUAUUAUUCUGAGCUACUACUAAGUGAUCUAAAGUAGUGAAGGAGUUUAUGAAUUCAUCAUGAGAGACAUGCUCGUUCAAGGGAGCUUCCUGAACAAGUGGAGGUGCCGGCUGAUUCUCAUUUCUUCUUCUGCUAUUCUUUCUGGGAGGCAUAUACUGUAGACGGAAACAAGAUUGAAUUAGAAAGAGAGUUUAAAUUGAGAUCAUUCUCAUUCACACGAUAUGAAUACUGAAAGAAGGAAAACUUCUCCUAAAAUAUUUUGUAGCCUCUUGUCCAUAAGUGUGGCGCAUUUCACACCCAUGCACAAGGCUCUACUCAACAUGGCUUUCAGAAUCCCUAGGAUAUUUUAAAACCUUAGGCUCUGAUACUAAGAUUGUAAUACCCCAGGAGUACACCCUAGAUGCCACACGAUGUUUACGAUCACAAGUGACCCCAAGCCAACCCAUAAGCUGGUACUUGCUGUGAGCACUAAAUAAACUGAUAAAAAAAUAUACACAUAUGCGGAAAACUAAAAGCGCCAUAAGGUUUAAAUACUAAAACAUCUGUAAAAUUUAAGCUUGAAAACAAUUGUCUAAACACAAUACUAUAAAGACUGUCAAAAAUAACUGAUAACUGACUAACUAUCUGAAAGUGUCUGAAAGCCUCUAACAAACUGACUGUGGAGUUGAUGGGAUAAGUCUCCAACUAACUCCAACUGGAUACUGAACUAAAACACUGAAAUAACCAUAAAUGGUCCUUGGAGUAUGAGGACUUACCACUACUACUGCUAUUGAUGCACUGGGUGGUGUUGGUGGAGUCGAGAACUUGAGCGUCUGAACCUAUGAUAUGAUACAUCAUAGCAUAAGAAACGAGUAUACGAUUAGUACUUUGAAUGUACUGGUAUGCUAGAUAGGGUUAGACUGAUAUGCAUGGGCCCAUGUACAUAAAUAAUAACUGCCUGAAUGAAUAGCAUGAGAUAACUGAUGCAUGGUAUGCGUGAAAGCUGUAAAAUCAGAGAAUACAUGACCAAGCAUAUAACAUGAUACUGAAAUAGUCCAUAAACUAAAAUCACUAAAAUCUGGUAAUUGAAUAACUAAAAAUUGUAUGUUAUGGUCAAUACAAACCUGAACUGAAUUAUACUUAAGACUAAACUAAAACUCUAGGAGCUAGCUAUAACUGACAUGCCCCAAUAUAUUAUCAAGGUCCAACUUGUAACCCCGGUUGGAAGGGUGUUAGUACCGUGCCACGGGUGCUAAGACUGGCUAUGUGAAUUGCUAAGACUGGCUAAGUGGAUCCACUAUCUGAUGUGCUAAAGGACGAGGGUGUCAUGCCUAACUGAUGGGGGACCCCUCAAAGUCUACGGUGGCGCCGUAGGUCUAGAACCUAUGGACUGGUACUAACACCUCAAGCCUAAGUGACGGGGGAGACGUCAUCCCUAAGUUUACUCGGUGCUAAGUAUUACUCCCAACUGAAGACAUUAAUUCUGAAAAUGAAAUAAUCGUGACUGAACCAACAACUGAUCAUACUAACUUAUUGAAGGAUAAUGCUUAUGGUUUAUAUGAGAUCGUUCUACAAAUACUGGGACUAUGUAAACAGCUAAAUUUUUGGGUAUUAUAACCCCAAGGACUCAAUGAAAAUAAUAAUAAGAAUAUACUAAAGCUUUGAAAACCAGAAUAAGUAGUCUUUGUUCAAACCCAAAAUUAUUUAGACAUUUCAUCAAACACUUGGAAUUCAUGGGUUUAAGCAUGGGAAUAGUGUAAUUCAUAGGAUAAUAACAUAACUUCAAUUCUAAAAUCAUGGGUUAAGAAUUUAACAUGCAACUUUCAUCCUUCAAACAUGUCAAGGGGUAAUAUUCAACGAAAACACACGUAAAUAUGGUAUAAAACUCAAAAUUCAUAGAAGUUCAUGGACAUAAUUCAUGAUAACAUAUAAAGAUCAAAAUUUUAAACUUGAAAAUAGAUUCUUGGACUCCAUGGGUGAAAAGGACCCAUGGAUAAACAUCAAAAAUACCUUAAUUGAAGAAUUCGUGAAGGUUCUUGGUGGUUUUCUUGAAACUUGAGCUUGAAUCUUGAAGGGGCUAGAGUUUAUCUUGAGAGAGAAUGGUUUUCAAGAGAUAAUUUGAGUAAAAGAUGACCAAAUAUGCUUUUGAGGGCUUUAAUCCUGUGUUAUGGCUGAGGUAAAGUGAGGGAAAAAGACUAAAAUACCCUCCUAGACCAGGAAUUAAUUAAGCUAAAACGUGGCCAGUGACGCAUCACUCAGUCGAUGCAUUAGAUGACGUAUCGUAUUGUACCCCACCAACGUGAUAAGAGGCACGUCGCAGCCCUAUUACGCUGAAUCGCUGGUUUGAACAUCCAAAUAAGCCUCAAACCUCAUUCGAAACUUACCCAGGACAUGCUACCGACCACCCCGAUCAUGAAUCAACUUAAUAAUCAAUGUUCUAAGGCCGAGAAGGUCGUAAUUAAAAUCGUCAAAGUUUAAGGGGCUUUGGAAAUCACUAAGUCUUAACACUUAGUGAAAUUUUCUAAGUCUUGGACCCCUUUAACAUGCAAGAGUGAGCUAAAACGAGUUAGGAUCUUAUGGGGUCUUACAUAAAUCUUAGUCAAACUAGGAUAAACAGUGUACCUUGACUCAUGAGACUCAACCAAGAUCCUCUAUCACAGCCAAUCAACAUCGGGAACACAUAAUCUGCUACCAUCACCACUAAUACCCAAAGUCAUGACUUUUUGCUAACCCACAUCAUCUUUGAUUCGCAUCAAAAUAGGAUCUAAAACCUGCUUCUCCUUUACCUCAGUACCAAGAGAGAACUUCACCACCUCUUGAAAGAUCACCCCACCUUCCUCGAAAUCCUAAAGAAGAACUCCAAGAUUAUCCAAAUAGUGAAUAUCCUUCACUAAACCUAGUUUCUCCUCAUCCACAUGAGAUAAGCUCCCCAUGAACAACCUGCUAAGAGAAUCAACAAACAUAUUAGCUUUACCUAGAUGAUAAUGGAGACUCAUAACAUAAUCCUUGAGAAACUCAAGCCAUCUCUGUUGCCUGAGAUUCAACUCCUUCUGGGUGAACAUAUAUUGCAAGCUCUUAUGAUCAGAAUAUAUGUCAACAUGAACUCCAUACAAGUAAUGAUGCCAAAUCUUCAAAGAAAAAACCACCAACAACAACUCUAAAUUAUGAGUCGGAUAAUUUCUCUCAUGCACCUUCAACUUCGUAGAGGCAUACGCCACCACCCUACCAUGCUACAUUAAAACAUAACCCAGUCUCAUACGGGACGCAUCACAAUAAACAACAAAACCAUCAGUACCCUCAGGUAGGGUCAAAACUAGAGCCAAAGGCAACUUAUCCUUCAACUUCUUAAAACAACCCUUACAAGCAUCAGACCACAGAAACUUUACCAUUUUCUGAGUCAACUUAGUCAAUGGAGCAGCGAUCGAAGAUAAACUCUUCACAAACCUCAUAUAAUACCCGGCUAAACCCAAGAAACUCCGAAUAUCAGAUAGAAUUAUGGGUAUAAGCCAUUUAUUAACCACCACAACUUUUUAUGAUCCCCUCACUAGAAAUAACAUAACUCAGAAAAGUAACAAUAUUCAACCAAAACUCAUACUUUGAAAGCUUAGCAUACAAGUGUUGAUUCUUAAGGGUCUGCAACACUAUACGGAGGUAAUUGGUAUGAUCCCCCUAAUUCUUAGAAUAUACCAAGACAUCAUCAAUAAACACAAUGAUGAAUAAGUAUACAACUGAUAAAAUACCCGAUCAUAAAAUCGAUAAAUAUCGCUGGGAUAUUAGUCAAAUCGAACGACAUGACCAAAAACUCAUAAUGACCAUACCGGGUAUGAAAAGGAGUCAUAGGGAUAUACACCUCCCUAAUCUUCAACUGAUGAUAACCCAAUCAAAGAUCAAUCUUAGAAAAGCAUCUAGUACCUUGAAGAUGGUCAAAGAGUCACUUAUCCUAGGAAGAGGAUACUUAUUCUUCACAAUCACCUUGUUCAACUGUUGAUAGUUUAUACACAUUUGAAUGGAUCCAUUAUUCUUAUGCAUGAAAAGCAUGUGAGCAUCCCAGGAAAAAAUACUAGGGCGAAUAAAACCUUCAUCAAGAAGAUCUUUCAAUUGUACUUUAAGCUCUUUCAACUCAGCCGGAGCAAUUCUAUAAGGAGGGAUAGAGAUAGGACAGGUAUCCAAAAGAAGGUCAAUCCCAAAGUCUAUUUCCCUAUUGGGAGGAAUACCAAAAAGAUCAUCACGAAACACGUUGGGGAACUUAUUGACUAUAGGGAUAGAUUUCAAAAAGGGGACCUCAGGAUUAGAAUCCUUAACCUGAACUAAAUGAUAUAGAUGCCCCUUGGAAAUAAAUUUUCAGGCUCUAAGAUAAGAAAUGAACCUCCUCUUAGGAGCUAGAGAACUACUUUCCCACUCAUUCACUUGUUCAUUCAAAAAUUGGAAACUGACCCUUUGAGUUCUAUAAUUAAGAGAUGCAUAGAACGAAUGGAGCCAAUCCAUCCUUAAAAUAACAUCAAAGUCUAACAUAUCUAAAUUUAUCAAAUCCACCAAUGUUUGUCUACCAUAGAUGGAUACCACAAAACCCCUAUAGACUUUUUUAGCCACAACAGAGUCACCCACUAGGGUAGACACAUAAAAGAGAUAAUAAAUACACUCAGGACCAAAACCAAAAUGAAUAGCCACAUAAAGGGUCACAUAAGAAAAAAUAGACCCUCAAUCAUAUAAAUAAUACAUGUUACAAGAGAAGAGUUAUAAUGUACUAGUGAUAAUAUCAGGAAGAGCCUCAAAUUCCUGAUGGGUGGCAAGAGCAUACAGACGAUUCUGACCAGUAACGGUACUAAAAGUAGUACCCUUUGGUGUAGAAGUUGAGUAAAUAGCAAACAAACCUUAUUAUAUCCAAAAGCAACCCUGAAGGACAACCCCAUUGUAAGUAACCAAGCUGACCAUACUUGAAGAACUUAUUCCUUCCCUCAUCACGCACUUCAUGAUGUACCUGCCCACAAAAAUGACAAAGGGGAUAAGAUUGGGAGACUGAGCUUUAUUGUCCUACAAUUAGGAACCUUAUGCGUUAAACCCACUAUUAGCCUAAAAGCAACGAUCACCGAAUGACUUCGUAUAUGGAGAACUAGCCGCAGAAUAAAAACCAUAAGUUCCCCACAUUUUCAUAGGCGACUGCCUAUCAUUUGUACCACUAAUUUGUUGGCCUUCAUCCUGCUCUGAAUACUUGAAUUUCUUACUUUGCCUUUCUCCUAUUUCGACUUGUUUCUUAUUUUCCUCCUCAACUUAUUAUAUGUACACCACAAGCCUAGAGAUAUCCAUUUAAUUAUUCAGCAAGGCAGCCUUACACUCUAACACCAAGUCCCGAGAUCAGCUUGAAGCAAACUUCCUUAUCUUAGACCUAUAUAAGACACCAACUCCAGAGCAUAGCGAGACAACUAAUGAAACUUUAAGGCAUACUCUUUCACAGUUAUCCUGCCUUGUUUCAAAUUCACAAACUCCUCAACUUUUUCCUCAUUCAACUCUUGAGGAAAAAAACUAUCAAGAAAUGCACUAGAAAUCAUCCUAUAUAUCUAGGUCAGCAUCUUCACCCCUCGACUGCUCCCACUCUUCAUACCACUUAAUGCCAUAUCCUUUAGCUAAUAUGUGGUGAAAUCCACACCCUCAAAGUCAGAAGCAUGCAUCACUAAGAAGAUUUUUUCCAUCUUAUCUAUGAACCCUUGAGGAUCCCCCUCAACCUUGGAAUCAGUGAAAGUCAGAGGACUCAACCUCAUGAAUUGACCAACCCUUAUGGCCUCAGAAUAUGAAGCAACAAAAGCAACACGCUCAGAAUAGUGCAACUGAGAUGCCACCAGCUGACUAGGCAAAUGGAUCGACUGACGAAACUCAGCAUUAUACAUAUCACCCUGAGGAGUUCGAGAAGGUUAGAGAGAAUCGAUAGAACUCCACGAGGAAAAUCAAAAGCACGAACCCUAGACUGGGUUUGUACCAUAUAAGUAGGAUGAGUUUCAUCCAUGUUGUAUUCCACGAGCAUCAGAUCUUCGUAAGGUAUGACCUGAAAUGUAAACAAAUGGGAAUUAGAGGAGAUUUCAACAUCCUAGACACUAUAGCUCAAAAGUUGAAUACAUGAAAGAAAAACAUUCCUAAAUUCCUUGUAGCCUCUCCCUUAUAAGAGUGGAACGCUAUAUACCCAUAAAAGAGACUCUACUUGACACGGCUUUAUGGAUACCCAAUUAACCAUGAACCUGGGGAUCUGAUACCAAACUUGUCACGACCCAAACUAGGGCCUGGACCCAAUUAACCAUGUUGUAUUCCACGAGCAUCAGAUCUUCGUAAGGUAUGACCUGAAAUGCAAACAAAUGGGAAUUAGAGGAGAUUUCAACAUCCUAGACACUAUAGCUUAAAAGUUGAAUACAUGAAAGGAAAAUAUUCCUAAAUUCCUUGUAGCCUCUCCCUUAUAAGAGUGGCACGCUAUAUACCCAUAAAAGAGACUCUACUUGACACGGCUUUAUGGACACCCAAUUAACCAUGAACCUAGGGAUCUGAUACCAAACUUGUCACGACCCAAACCAGGGCUUGGACAUGACAGGUAUCUUAAGUCCACCAAGGACCAAAGACUACCCUCUUUGCCUAGUAGAACAGAAUACAAUAUAGCUAGUAGUAGAUGAAUUCUGAACAUAUAACAAGACAGGAAACUCAGAAAGGAAUUUAAGAACUUCAACAACAUCUCAAUACACAGCAAUCCACAAAACUUCAAAAUAGACCAAAACCAAUCUAAGUUGGGACAUACCCCAGAUAAUAGCUAAAAAAAUCCAAUAAAAAUAAUCUAAGAUGUAAAUGAGACUUCAAAAUGAUAGAGAAUGGAAGCUCAUCACUUCAAAGGUGAUUGUUAAAAAUUCAAAAAUUCUAUCACUACAUAGAAAAAGUAAAAGUGUCUCUGAUUCCUAUAUCAUGUAGGGAUACAGCAUCCGGAGAUGGUUAGCAGGGUGAGCGCUAGCAUGUAACUAAGGAAAGGGAUAAAUUAAUGCCAAGUCAAAAACCAUAGUAAAAUUCACAUGCACACAUUGUACAUACAUAUAUAUAUAACAUGUUGGGGUAGGGAACAAGGUUUACCAUGAACGUAAAAUAUUAGCCUAGACUAUGUAGAUCUGUCAUCAUAAUAGUAUCCAUAGGAUAUAUGGGACCUAGGUCCCACCCCCUGGUCGAGCCUCAGUGCUUAUAGCCAUAUGAAUUGGAGAAUAAUCAUAUGUAUGAUAAACCACAUGGACUCGAAGAUCGGGUCAUAUAAUAAGGUUAACAUGAACACCUGAUCAUAAAAUAAGGGUAACUCGAACACCCAGCCAUUUAGACCCGUAUGCCCUUCAAAUAUAGUUUCCAGUAUUGGUCCCUCGGGACCUCCACUUUCAUAGCUUAGAUACACAACCCCCUUUAAGCCCAAUUAAAAUAUUUAGCACAUAACCAUUCAUUUGAUCAAGGAGGCAUUCAUUAAGGCAAUAUCAAGUGGUAUUUUUAUACCGACUAUAACUUGCAAGAGAAUUUCAUCAUUCCAAAUCAAAUAGCCAGUGGGACUCUAACCCACUAACUAAUAGGACUCUGGCCCAUUUAGCCAAUUGGGAUUCUAACCCAUCAGCCAAUAGGACUUUAAAAUAUUUAGCCAUUUAGGACUCAAACCCGUUUAGCCAUCUGGACUCCCAAGUUCCAUUUCAAAAUCAAUACAUGGCCAUAAAGGACUCUCAAACCAUUCUAUCCAUUAGCCUUUUUAUGCAAUUGUCAUAAUUCAAGAAUAGUUCAAUAUGUGUAUACUCAUAUUCAAAACAAAUUUUACAAGAUUGGGUUAAGGUUAUACCAUUUACAAUAUUCAAAACCAUUAAUUUUGGGAAUCCAUGACCCCCCAUUUCAAUUAACAACACCCAUGCACCCCAAAUAGUUCAAGACUAUCAAUUCAAACUGUGAAUCAUUCAUAAAAUUCAUGGGAAAAACAAUUCAUUCAUUGAGGCUCAAAACCUUCAACCCAUAUAUAUAAACCAUAAUUUAAUCACAAGAAUAACAAUUGUAAAUACAUGUUUUUAAAAAAAUAAACUUAGGGUAAGAGUAACAUAUCUGAGAUAUCAAGAAUUACGGAGAGAAAUCAACCAUUGGAUUCUCUAGUUGUCAAUUCUUUGGAAACCUAGUUGUUGUCUUAGGGAUAAAUAGAGGAUGUAUUUGAUUGUUAAAGUGAUGGAAAUAACCCUCUUUAGGUGUUUUAUGGACGUCGGUCCUGAGUGGGUAAGGAGGGAAAUGACAAGAAUUCCCUCACUUAAAAGUGUAAAAUUCAGUUAUCACGGGGCAUUUUAUGACUCGUGAAGUUAGGCUACUAGUUUGCUUCUCUAUAGACAUGCUUACAAUAAAAAUAAUCCAGUAAUCUGAUCAAAUCUCGUAACUCGGUGAUGUAAUAAAUAAGGUUCCAAGGAGGUGAAAUAACCUGUUUGAUCCACUUAGCUAGCAACUCUGACAGUACAGAGCAGUAUUAUACUUAUCAUCAGUUACCACAUGAUAAUAGAGGUUAUUAUAUGCUGGAUAAGGUGGAAAUGAUUAAUUUCAGAUGAAAGAAGUUAAAACGCAUAAAGCAGCCUUCUUAGAUUCACUUGGGUUGGAUCUUCUUGCACAGGUACUCACUUGUUUUACUUAUCCCAUCUCACUAUCUUCAUCUACAUUAUUCUCAUUAGUUUAUAGCUUUCAUGAAGAGAACAAGUUUUGUUUUUAUUUUCUUCUUACCUUGUAAGGGGAGAGUCUCUCUUAUUUAUAUUUUCCUAGAUUAUAUUGUGCUGAAAGGAGUCCUCUCUUCUAGGUGCUUAGAUCUAGAUUUCAUUUUUAGUAUCAAGGAUGAGUCGAUCGGCCUUAGUAGGUUAGUUGACUUUAAACCACCAUAGGUCAGAGGUAAGGUAUAUGUCCCCCUCUUUGUACUUUUAUUUAUUUUAUUUAUGAUACGGCUUAGGGGUGUAUGGAUUAACCCCUGACCAACACGGGAUGUGACAGCCCUGGGUAAGGUCCAUUUCUUAAAAAAAAGUUAGGCUACUAGUCGUCUCCAUGACUCGUAAUCUAAGAAGUAGCUUAAAUACCCCUCACUGGUGACCCUCUGAGUCACACACUACGACUCGUAAUGUGUCAUUAUGACAUGUAGUGUCCUAGUCAUUGUCAAGGCACAAAAAUUAGGUACCCUUAUUGGUUUUGCUACGAGAAGCACUAUACAACUCAUUUAGAGUCUUGACGACUCGUUGAGUCUAGUCGUACUUAGAAUAGGCACCUUGGGCAACCUCAUUGGUCACUAUAUAAUUGGGGUCCUAUAACCCGUCAAGACACUUUAGGACUCGUAAGGUGAGUCAUAAUUUGGGCAGUAAGCUCAAAGUCAAGAAAUUUUUCAGGGACCAAAAUCUAGGGUGUUAUAAUUAUGUUAUAAUGAUACCUCUCUUUUAUUGAAUAUUAUGAUGCUUAGUCAUAUGUUAAGUGUGACCAUCCUUGGCAUGAUGAUAAAAUUAUUGUUGCUAAUAUUAACCCUCAUGCCAUAAGGAUGUUUUGGUUGUUUGUUUUCCCUAUGGAUUUGCAAAGUGGAUUCGAGGAUGAAUCUUUUUAAAGAACGGGAGGAUGAUACAAUCCAAAUUGGAACCAACCUUUUAAGACCUAUAUUCCAAGGUAAACACAAUAGAAUCCAAUCCAUAGACAUCAUAAGGACAUAAAGAUAUAAGAAUAUGUUUGGAAAACCUUUUUUGAGACUUUAAAUAAGCAAUAUCAUGUUUGAAAGGUGGCUUGGAGCAUUAAAGAACCAACCACGAUAAGAAAAAGCUAAAGGACAUUUUUUCCAUUUUGGCGACAUAAGGGGAAUCACUAAUUACAUGGGCAAAUCACUAAUUAUCCUACCCAUAUCGCCAAAUAUGGCAGCUUUCUUGUUAGGUCUCUUUUAGGCCCAUUUGUGACAAACUUAGGCAUAGACUAUAAAUAGCUUGUCUUUCAUUUUUAUUAGGUAGAUUUUUAUGACUCUUGAGAGAUUGUGAGAGAUUGGAAAAGCCUAAGUUGAUUAUCGCUUAGCAACGGUAGUUGAAAGGGAGUUUUGAUUCCCUCGUGGUCAUUCUAAGAGAUAUUUGUUUGGUGAUAAUCUUAUGGAUGCUCAUUGUAUUUGAAAUAUCCUUCGGUUGUCCUUUUUUCUUAUCUUCUUGUGUCUAUUUAUCUAUUGAUUUCUCUAUUCUAUCCUUGUUAUCUUAGUUUCAUACUUUAUUUCUUUAUAUUUUGAAUUUUGGAUCGUAUCAUCCAUAAAAAAAUUUGUAAGGUCUACUAACUGUGUGACUAUGCCUAAGAGCAGUUUCUAUUUGCUUGCAUUAAUUUGAAACCACUACUAUAUUAAACUGGCUUAAAAAGUGCAGUUUUUACCUAAGUUCCCUACAUGAUUGGUUCCUCUUGUUUGCCUAACCUGUAGCAUUCCAGUAAAAAGAGAUUAUUUAUGUUACACAUUCAGAUUCGAGAGUUGGUUCUUUGUUUAAUCGUGAUUGGGCGGACUUUCCAUCAGAAUAUUUUUCAUGAAAGCCAAUUUUGUCAAUACACCCGCUCCCUCAUUCCUUAUUGUGUCGUAGGCCUGGACGAAUGAGUUAAUAAUAGAUUAGGUGAGGAAAACUACGAAUGUUCAUCCCAUGAAGCACCAGGGAAUCAUGCAUUUCUCCCAGGCUUGAACGAAGUCAAAGGAGAUUCUUUCAAUCGAUAUUCGCCCAAAAAAAAAGUAUAAAUAGCAACCCUAGACCCCUGGGAUAUGGCCUACAAGGAAGAGAAUAGUAACAUUGUAUUAUUCAUCCAACACUUUUUUCAGAUAUUCCCCCUUCUAGGGAUGCUUUCUCGAGCCUUCUUCCCCUAUUCUUUUUUUAUUUGGGGAUGACACGUACUUUAUCCCGAGUAGGUCAUGAGUGAUUUCUAUAUUCACAUAGAUAAUUUUGAAAUCUUCUUUCAAGCAGCUUCGUUCUUUUUCAUAGAGACUAUCCUUUGUAUAAGUCGUGACCCAUCUAAGGAAUGAGCUUCUCUCGAGUAAAAUAUCAUUGACCACAAGGAAAAGUUAAAAUCUCGACUAAAAACAAUAGUUGAUUAAAUGGCAAAUGAUCAUGGAAAGAGUCUUGCAUUCAAUGCUUCUGAUUCAGGUCCUAGACAACCAAGAAAAUAUGUGCUUAAACCUAUAAACAAGAAUUGUUGAUAAAAAAUUUUAUAUUUAAAUUAUUUAAUAAUGAAUUGAUAAUUUUUUUUCUUUUUUAUUUUGCAUUUCUUAUCAAAGGAGCUGAAAGUCACUUUUGAGCCGAAAGCCACUUAACUGUAAGGAAAUGAGAUUUGUUCCUUGGUUCAACUACUACCGAUUGAUGGGAGAAAGACAUGUGUGAAUUAGUACAAUUCAUUAUUUAUAGGCAUAUUAGACAUUCUAAGAUAAUCAUUUGGUUGGUCAUUUCCAACACUUCGGAUGGGCGGAAAGAUCUAACAGACUUUGGUAGGUAACAUCACCAAAGCGUACCAUUAUAUUUGACUAUGACAGAAAGAACUCAAAUGAAUAGACACCAUAUUGUGAAAGACAAUAGUAGUUGGCCUCUAUCAUCUUCUAUCUGAUAUACUUGAUAAAAACUCCUUACUUAUUUUCAAAACUUGAGUUCGAUCGCAACUUCCUCCUUUUUUUCAUAGGGGAGGAGGUGCAUGGGGCAUCAAUUUCCUUGCCAACUUUCGCCAAUCGACCCAGGUCUGUUUUUAUUUAUUUUGAAUAUUAUCAAACCUAUCUUAAUUUGUAGUUCCAACUCAACACAAGUUUCGCUUUUAAUAUUUUUGUUGUUUUCAAUUGAAAUUUCUUUUAUACAGAGAGAGUAAUAAUUAUGAUGGUGGAUGAUGUUGGUAUUGCUGUCACAGGUGUCAUGAAGGCGUUAUGAUGGUGGUCGGUAAUAGUGAUGGUUGUGAGGGUAAGGUUGGUUGAUGUCAGUAGUUGGCGGAUAUUGAUGAUGGUGGUUGAAGAAUGUGUUGGUAAUAUUAAAUGCAGAUGCUUGUUGUGAUAGUGGAAACGGCGCUAAUAAUGACAACAAUAAUAGUGACAGUGGAUAUAAUUAAUGAUAAGGGCAGUAAGUAUAGUAGCGAUUGAGAGUAGUGGUUAACAACAAUGAUGGUUGCUAGUGAUGGUUAUGAUGGCAGGGGUAUUUGGUGGUAGUAACCGAUUGUUGGCGGCUACAAAGGUGGUUGACAAUGAUGGUGGUUGUAACAUUGAAUAUAAUUAUAAUGAUGGAGGUGGUAUGUACGGUAGUGAUUGGUAGUAAUAGUGGACAGUAUUAGGUUGCAUUGCUAGUUGUGAUGACAGAAGUGGUUGGUCAAGUAAUAAUAAUGGUGGCUAGAUAGUAGGGAUGGUUAGUGAUGGUGACUGGGUAGGGUGGAUAGAGUGGUGGUGAAAUUAUCUACACAAAAUACCACUUAAUAUAUUUCUGCUCAAGAUUUUAAUGAUUCAAACCUAUUCAAGUUAAAUAAAUGCUUAAAUUUUAAUGAAACAAAUAUUUUUAAUAAACCAAGUCUGAACCAUUCAAAUUCAAAUCUCCACUAGAUGCAAUCAAAUGAGGAUAAUUUAAUUAAAAACCCCAUUUAUUUAGGGAGGAUAAAUGUACACAAUCCAUAACACCAUCUCAGAUGUAAAAUAGAGAAGUUAUUUUCUAUAGACCCUCGGCUCAAAAUAAAACAAUCUAGACAAAAAAAAAAAGUAAAUCGAUAAAAUACAAUAGAAAUCAACACACAGGGGCGGAGCCAAGCCUUGUUAGGGGAUUCGGCCGAACCCCCUUCAACGGAAAAAUACACCAUUUAUACAUGGUUAAAAUUAUUUUUGUGUAUUUAUAAUAGGUGUUGAACCCCCUUCGGCUAGAUUUUCUUCGAAUAUUGAACCCCCUUAGUUGAAAUCCUGGCUUCGCCUCUGUCAACACACCUAAUAAUAACCAUAUACAAGAUACACAAUAAUUAUACUUCUGGCAAAAUGAAACAUAAAUUUCAAAAAACACGUAAACAAAACGAAGGUAACUGAGCAAGCGAACAAUAACAUUUAAAAAGUAUUUGGUUUUGGAUAUAGUGAACUCCCAUUCAAAUAUGUUGGCAUCUCCUUGUCUACAAAGAGGCUCACAAGUCUACAAUGGGAUCCUUUGAGUGACAACAUUGUAGCCAAAUAUCAUCAUAGACGGAUUAGAAGUUGUCUUAUGCAGGCAAAACUCAGUUGGUGCAGUCUGUCCUGUUUGGAUUUCAAGCCUUGGUCUCCAUUGUUUGUCACUCCUAAUAAAGGUGCUAAAACUGAUUGAUUCAUACUCCAAAAUUAUACUUGGGCAGGUACUAACACUAUAUCUAGAAGAGCACUAAUGGCUUGAAAUAGAACUUGCUUACCUAAUUCAGCCAGAGGAGUCAACCUAAUUAACAUCUUUGGAACAAAGCAAUUAUUACCAAAACUUAUUGGGACCGACCAAGGAGACAGACAGGCUAUGGACAAGAUGAAUCCAUACUUUCUAUUUCAAAACUCUUCAACCUGUCAUAGCACCUAUCUGACAAUAAGCUUCGUGAGAAAGACCAUAGCAGCAAGAGGUUUAUUAGCACAUGCUCAGGUGGUAGAUGGUUGCUCAGUUUCUGUCAUACAAUUAUACUUGAAGCUGGUUGAUGACAGGCCGAGGCAUAGGGUUAAUUGGACCAUAGGCAAUACUUACAAUGUCAAUGCAGUUACAGAAUAAACUUCCUACCACAGAUGGCUACUCAAAUGGCAUUAACAAUGAAUCCAACAAGCAAAUUUUGCCAAACAUGCCUGGAAACUCGAGACCAUACUACUCCCUCCAUUUCAUGAUAAAUGAAUUGUUGGAUUUUAACACAUAUUAAGGAAAAAGACGAGAUCAAUAUGUUUUGGCUCUCAGCUGAUAAGAAUACUCUCCAGCUAAAGACGAGAUCAAUCAAGUAGGCAGAAGGUUCAUAUAUAUUGAUGAAAAUAAAAGAACAAAAAGGAAACAUUUUCUUUUGCAAGUCUAAAGAAACAUUCCUCAGGACAGAAAACAAAAUUUAGGAUACUAAUAUCUCAUAUAAGAAAACUACAAGAACAAAACAGCGGGGAGCAUAACAUCUAACAAAUCAAGCCUCAACUCUCUCAGGUGGUGCUGCCUCCUCAGCGGCGUAGACAAUAACCUUAUUGGCAGGCUUUGCCAAGAUAUCAAAGUACUCUUGGAAUGGAGAUUUUGUGAAGCGAGUCUCUUUCCAAAAGUCUGGAGUGAGGAACCCAUAAGUCUUCAUUAAACAAUCGAAGGUAGCCUGCAUACAUAAUGAGUGAUAUUAGACUUGAACACAAUUAGUACACCACCUGCAGAUAUAUUAUAAACGAGCAACAAAGAACCAAGUGGAGCUGAUUCUAACAUUCAACCAGAGAGGUCAAUGCUGGGAAAGCAAAGAAUGGAAUGCCUGUUCUGAAACAAAGAUUUUAUACUAUAUAAACACCAUCACCCACGCUGUGGAUAGAAAUAACAGUUGGUUACAGAAAAAACUUCAAUUAUAUUGCAGUCCCUUCUUUAAAAGAAGGAUGCAAUAGAGUCAUAUUAUAGCUUUCUAGGAACAAAGGGCUAACAUCAAGCAUUGCAGCAUCCACAUUCAAGAAUUAAACUUAACCUAACUAGAAAGAAAAACACACAAGUAUAGAACUAAUAAUGGCACAGACUCCUGUCCCACAAUUUGACUUGCUUAACACUGCAUUCAAUAACUACACACACUGUCCGAAUUUAACUGAUACUCUCAAUAUAUCUACCAUUUAGGAACUAACCUAAACAACUUUGUUUUGGACAAUGACCAUAUUUGAAACUAUAAAAUUCGCAAUUGUUACUAUAUCUGUUAUACAAUAAGGACACAAAAAGCAUGGAUCAGAUUGUAUUGGUUCAAAGCACAAGACAACAUUUCUAUCUCAGAUGGUAUAUAUAUACAAAGAUCAUAUCUAUUUACAACAUGUUUCACUGGAUCAGACUACCCGGUCUCCUAGAUGCCUUUACAUGUAGUCAUCUCCAUAUUAACUAUUUCAAAUAUAUUUAAAUCAAAAUGUACAGUUGGUUAAUUCUUUUGUUCAAUGUUGUUUGGUACACCAGAUGGGAUAAGUAGGGAUAUUUAUUAUCCGGUGUAGCAACCAACCAUAAAUAUAAUGUUAUACACAUCACUUCUUAAGAUGUGAUAUCAGUAGAUAUAGUAAGCAUAUAAUCAUGUAAUUAUGGAUACCACAACAGAUUAGAACAUGGUAAUAGAACCAACACACAAUCAUAAAAGAUCGAACCUUAACGAAGUUUCCAAGGGUUUUGGUGGAUCCACGAGAAGAGGUAAAGACAUCUUCAAUACCAGCAAACUGAAGAACCUUCUUAGGAACACGAGCAGCAACAAUACCAGCACCACGAGGAGCAGGGACCAUCCUCACAGUAACAGAACCACAUUUCCCAGUAACCUUACAAGGCACUGUGUGUGGCUUCCCAAUCUUAUUCCCCCAAUAACCUCUCCUCACUGGAAUCACUGACAACUUCGCCAAUAUAAUCGCUCCACGUAUAGC